rnacentral:lncRNA from 1 species
CCAGACUUAGGGCUUCGGGUCCUCCACGACCGCCAUCUAAGGACCUGAAAUUUUAAUCCCACAACCGGGAUGAGACGAUGUCUCAGCAAGUUCAACCCCCUAAACCCCUAUUAGAAAGAAAAUACGCCCAAGGGUGGCCUAGCCACAUCACAUAGAGAACUUACCUCGCCUCAGUUCCUUCCUGCAAGUUAGCACAAUUCAAAUCACCCAAUCACAGAUAGUAACAGGAACUCAAACAAUUGGAACGCCAUCACUUUCGUAUAAAUCACAAUCGCACUUAGCCCGCAUUCCAAUUAUUAUUCACUGCCACACAAGGGCAUAGCCUACUCGCAGUUCGGCUAUCUACUGGCAUAUAGCCAGGCAUUGCCUCCCCCCAUGGAGCGGGGCUUCGUCAGUACAUUGACGGUAUUCCCGAAGGAGCGUGGACCUAGAAUCUACUGCGACCCGCAACCACCACGUGGGCAUCCCAUAUAGGGGCAAGUCUAGCUCAACAGCCUAGGACGAUUCCUUUUAAUUAUCACACAAUCAAAUCAUACUCGGCCCCAGGACACUUUAUAUUUCAAUCAAUGCUUCCACUUAAAAUAGUGAUCCCGGACAUUUUUCUUCAUAUUAAAAAUAUUCCCGAAAUUAGUCACGUGUGUGGGGACACGCUAAUUUCGAAUCAAAAGCCAAUAUCUCACUUUUUUAAACCCCACUAUUUAAUAUAAUCGUUAAAAUCCAAUUUUUGCAUCAAAACCCGACACUUGGGUUUUUAUGAAUAAAAUCCCUAUUUAUCACAAUCAACACUCAAUUUGCCACAAUCAAUCAUCAAAUUUAGAUUCUAAAUACACAGCAGCGAUCGACACGAAAUUAUGAGAGUAUAAGGUCCCGACGAAAUUUUCGAAUUUUAUUAAAUAAUUAAAUUUAUUCCGAAAAUUAAUUAAAUAAUAAUAUCCAUAUUUUUCGCAAUCCACAUUCAAUUUAUAAUAUCCGACCAUCAAUUUCAAAAUCCGAAUACAUAGCAGCGACUGGCACGAAAUUCUGAGAAUUUAGGGUCCCGACAAAAUUUUUCGGAAUUUAAUAAAUAAUUAAAUUUAUUUCGAAAAUAAUUAAAUAAUAAUAUUUAAUAAUUUCGAAUAAUGAUAUAUUAUUAAAUUAUUUAAUGAUUUCGGAAUAUUUAAAUAAAUCAAAAGUAAAUUCCUUUAUGUCAAAUCAAGGCUUAUUUUAAAUAAACCUACUUACCCUUAAUUAAGCACACUUUAAAUUAAACCACCACCUUAAUCAAAUCUACACUUAAUUAAUCUAAACUAACAACCUAAUAAUACUUAACAUAAACCAAACCUCCCUAAGCAUAAUUAACCCUCUAAGCGAGGUUUAGUGAGUUAAACUCACUGGAUUAGCGAGCCGAGCGAACCAAAACGACGAGGGUGACGCGAGGAUCGACUUUCCUCAAGGUGGGCCGAGCAUCCGGGCUCGGGAAGGCAGCCGAAACGGGCCACAAGCGGGCUGCAAUACCCAUUUUUCUGCUCAUCGAUGGCUGCUAGUUGGGGGCAGAUCCGGCGUCGGUUCGAGUCGGAAAAGGCGGAGGAGGACCGGCGGCAGCUUGGGGCGGUGGCUCACGGCGGCCCGGCAGGCUCCCCGCUGACGGCUGGUGGCUCGGGACGACGGACGAUGGCUGCUGGUGUGCGAACGAAGCACAGACGGGAGGGCGGAGCAACUCGCACAUGAGACAACGUGCGUGCGGACGAACGGCGACUGCAAUGAGCUCCGGUGACGAGCGAGCUGGUCGGGUGAGCGGCGAACGACGGGCUUCUCUGGUUCGCUGCUGAAUCUCGAAGCCUUCAAGGCACACCCAAGAAAGAGGAAAGAUGGUCGAACAGCAGGGGGAGAGAGGGGCGGAGCUACGAGCGGCUGGAUAGGCGACGGCCUCCGGCGACGGCGACGAGCGGUGGCGUCGAGCGGGUGAAGGGGCGUGCGGGUUGCUGGUCACGCACGAGCAGCUCCCUUCCUUCCCCUUUCUCUCUCUCUCUCUCUCUUUUUCUUCCCAAGGUUGAAGAUGAAGUGGUGGGACCUCCUCACUUUUUGAGGACCAAUUAGCACUUGCCACUUGUCAAGCUCUCCUUCAAUAUGGCCCAACCACCAUGACAUCACAUGAUGUCAUACUCCACUAUCCCAAAUCUUCCAUAGCCUUUCUCCAAUGGGUCUAUUUUCAUUUUCCGCCGGGGUCCAAAUUCUUAUACAUCAAAUUCUUCAAUUAUAAUCAAUCCACUUCCAAUUGAGUCCAAUUGAAGUCCAUAAAAUUAAUCCAAUGUCACCACACUUUAACUCACAUCUUCACUUGUCCAUAGAACCAACUUAAGUCCCAAAAGCGCAACCAAAUGCGAGCCUACUAAUUUCUCGAGCCAAAUUAACCAUUUUCUAAUUUAAUUACUGAAAAACUCUGAUUGCAUGAAAAAUCUUCCGAAGAUUAGUCAAUGAUCCUAAAAUGAUUUGUGACACACCCAGACUUCCAAUUUCUGAAUUCGAUCUCAAUUCCACGGUUAAUUUUACUUUGGCACGACACUAGCGCGGCCCAACCUACCGGGUAGCCUUUAGAAAUUUUCAUGCAUUUAACCUGUGGUUGAUCAUCUUAAGCCACAAUGUACAUCUUUGAGACAUUGGCGACUUUCGGUUGUCGGGGUAAUCUCAAGGUUUCAAAUAUGAACACAGGAUACCGAAUCGAUAGAAAAGUUGGUCCAGUGCCAAUCGACACGAAUUGUGCGAUCUGGUGGAAUCACCCACACCUGAUCACAUGCCUCUAUCAAGUCGACCUAUCUCCGAUCUCUAAUCAAUUUUAAUUGUGCCGUAAUGACCCUUGCAGACUAGCUCGAUCGAAAAGUCACUUCCUGGUUAAAUUCUCGAGUCUGAUGCAUUAUAAACUCUUAACAGCUUCACCUGAUAGACUAGUUUUCACAUGAGUGGCCGACUCAAGGAAAAGAACUAUAUGCGUGCCAACGAAAUGCCCGUCUCAAUUUAUUGAAAAUAGGAUUGGAAAAUCGGGAUGCCACACUCGACGUCAAUAUCGAAGGUUUCAUGGAAUUGAACAAGAUUCCUCAAGGUUGAUAUUCCUGAAUUCGAGGGAAGAUUCAAUUUUCCACUUUUUAUCUUUCAAUUUGAUCACCACAUCUUUCUUUCCCGAGAUCAAAAUUGCAUCCCACAUUCUAUCAUUCGCACCCCAAUCUGGCAUCACGAGAAACCUCCUGCACACACCACCAAGCAUUCGACACCCCCACAUUCUGGGCAUCUCGUAUCCCAACUGACAUCACGAGGCAUCCCCCAAGCACAAACCUCUGAGGCUUCCGGCACCCAACCAUUACGGGCAUCUUAAAACUCCCGAGGACAUCCGGGCAUGCAUCAUAAUACAACCGGGCAUUCGGCACCCCCCAUCCCAGGCAUUAUUGGCUCACCUCCAACAGUUUCCUCAUUCAUCAUAAUUCAUAUUCACCAAUUUAUGUCUCACAAUCAACAUGGCACAUGAUAUAAUGGCAACAAAGUCAAAUUCAACAUUUGAUUCUAUAUACAAUGCCAAAUAUCAUCACAUGUGCAGCAAGAUUUAAUCACUUAAAUCAAUAAAAUUCAUGGGGCUCAUCCAAAGCAGAAUAGUCAUAAAUUACAGCAUUUUGAAAUUCGCUCAGUACAACUUGCACAGUUUUAGAAAAUAUUUUAUUUAAAUGCCCAAAUGACUUUCAAAAAUUAUGAAAGUCAAACAUGUGAUAAUCAAGACAUAAAGGCAGACAUUUCGUGAAGAACACUGCACCAAAAGACCCUCAUAUCAUGCGGUAUAGACCGAACAUCACAGCACCAUUAUCAUAACCACUUAACUUGCACAGUUUUCGAAACAUUUUCAGUUAAAUAGGCAAAUGAACUUCAAAAAUUAUGAAAUUUGAAUAUGUUGCAGGGAAGACAUAAGGAAAGAUACUUCAUGAAGGACACUUUUUCACAAGAACUUCAUACAAAAUGAUAUGGCCCACGCAUUAAAACUGACUAUGUCCGAAUGUGUCAGAUUACACGGUUUUAGAAAUAUUUCCGAUUAAAUACCCUAAUGACCUUCAGAAUUCAUGAAAUUCGGCUAUGUUAUAGUCAAGAUCCUAAGGUAGGUUUUUCAUGAAAAAAUCAAAAUCAAAUUCGUUCUAGGUGAUUAAAUAUAGGCGGUUAAAACUUCUGUUUCAAUACCAAAGUUUCCAGAUCUGACUACUUCCGAAAAACCACAAUUUUCCCUAUCUAUUCUUGUUAGUUUUCUCUAAAUUUUAAUAUGUUAAACCUCAAGAUGUCCUUUACAUCUUUUUUAAAGAAAUUGAAGUGAAAUUUCAACAAAAAGAUAACCUUACAGUCCAUGCAUUCAUCAAAGGUAGUUACCAAAAUCUCCAGAUCCAAUCUCUCCGAAGAAUAAAGAUUUCACCCACUUAUACUUGGUUUUUUUUUGUCUCAAAUUUUAGUAUGUUAUACUCCAAGAAGUCUUUAACAACUUUCAUUUAGAAGUCAAAGCCAAAAUCCAACUCGAACAUCACAUGCAAGCCACUAAAACACUCAAGGUCAAGCUGUUUUCUCAAGAACAGUUUACUAGUUUUGGAAUACCACUCUUAAAACAUCCGUUUUUCACAACCUAAACAAUCCAAAAUUUAUCAUCACUCACUCAUACAUUCUAGGCACAACAUGCAAAAGUAGAUUAAGGAUCCCAACUUGCCUCUAAACCAAGCAAACACGGCGACAAACGACGACAAACGGCAGACGCAUGGCGAUGAACGACGGACGCACGGCGGACGAUCGACGAACAGCUCUCCUCCUUUCCUCUCUUCUUCCUUUCUUCCUUUCUUUCUUCUUUUUCUCUCCUCUCUUUCUCUCUCAGUCGAACCUCUCUCUCUCCCUCUCAUUCUCGCUUAAACUGGCACCAUCAUCCCCUAAUUUCUUCCCCUCAAUCAUUAGCUAUCAUUAGGUAUGCAAGGAGGACACUUGGUACACUUCAAAGGACAAGUGGAGAAGGGCAUGCAACCGGUCUCUUCCCCUCCCCUUUGCACGGUUGACAGCCCCUCAUGGGCUUAUGGGCCGGCCAGCUUGGCCCAUCUUAGGCCCAUCCCUCUUGGGCCUAAGACCGAAGCUUAAUUAACCUAAGAUUAACCCUUUUAAAAACUAAUUAAAUCCCUAUUAAAUUAAAGUACUAAAUUGCAAAUUAAGAUAACUAUAAAAUUGAAAUUAUAAAUCCAUAAGUUCCAAUUUAUCAUACAUAUGGCCAAAGAUAAAACUUCCUUUUCCAAAAUUCAUCCAUUAAAGACUUGGUCAUACAUCUCAUCGCAAAUCAUGGAUUAGAAGGCUACAAAAUAUAGUAACGGUACUUCCAUCGCUUAUCCAUGGCUCAUGGCAUAUUUAGGGAUUUUUAUGAAAUUCUAGGAUGCCACAAUUGAUCUGUAGAUCUAACAGUAAUAGUAAUCAUCUCCCUCGUUGUAUUUGACUCCAUUGCAUAUUUGCUGCACCACGGUUUCAUCCGGCAUGGCUUUCGCAAUCUGGCAGAUAUAGUGAAGACCGACGAUGGUAGUAGCCACGAUUCUCUUAAAAGAAGCCAUUUUCGUUUCUCCAUACCUUCGUUUCUCUCUCUGACUUCCUGUUGUCUUUGCUGGAAUGCCCCAGGCCUUUAAAAUGCUGAGCUCAGUUGCAGCAUUAAUUGUCACGCCCUCCCUUUUUGUAGUGACGUCUACGAUGACGUGCUUCACCUAAAACUCAUCGCUUGUCCUUGCUUGAUCAGUGAUUACCAGGCUCGGUUCUUACUGGAUUAGAAUCUUGAUGCUGAAACUUAUUCACUUGGUGUGCAGCCGAAGAAUUCAUGAUGCUCUUGUCGUAUCCUAGUUUUACAUCUUUCUCUAAAUACAUAAUAAAGGUAUUUGUGCCACAAUGCAUUCUUUUCCUUUAUUUUCUCUCACUAGAAUCCAAACAAAAUAUUAACUCAAUCUCCACAAACCCUAUCUCUUUUCUUCUCUCGUAAUUAUUUAGAUCCCUUCUUUACUUUCGAAUUCUUCCGGCCAAAGGAUAUUAUUCUUCAUGGGAAAUACUCUUCCCUUUGUGAUUCAAGGCGAAAUGAGAGAGUGGCACCAUGCGGACGCUAUUUAUAUUAUGUCAAUUGCUAUUACUAAUUCAAAAAAAAAAAGAGAAAAAUCACGAUAAAAUAAAAUAAAAUGAAACCCUGGAACAUACAGACCCACAAUGAAACCGACAAGCAACGUUGGUAUUAAUUUCUCGUUAAGAAUUAUUCUGCGGAUGCAAUGAUCACUUGGCAGACGCAUGCUUGCAGGGUAAAUUAAGGAAUUUGAGAAUCGGACCGAUUCCCACUGUUCAGUUCUACUGGUUCUAAGUUUUAGGAUAUGUAGAGUAAGUUCCAAGUUUCAAAAAUUGGGAAAUUUGUUCUGACGAUAGGUUCUAUGUUUCAAGUCCACCUGAAACCUAAAACAAAUCUUUAUGUUUUUUUUUUUUUUUUUGGUAAGGAAUGAAUAAGACUUUUACUUUGUUAAUAUUUCAUAAUUUUCAUAUGUCUAAAUAUGAUUUUUGAUCCAUGGAUAGUUGGAAAUGAUGGUCAUUAAAGGUAAUAAUUUAUUGUAGGUGUUCAAUUAAAAGUACAUGUGGAACUUAGUUAGGCCCUUGGACCAACCCUAGAAUCUAUGGCAAGAUAUGUUUAGAUUCAAAAAAUUAGGGAAUUUGUUCCAACGAAUAGGUUCUAAAUUUCAAGUGGAACCUAAAACUGUUCAUCCCUAAUAAACACACUAAUGCAUUGAUAGCUUUUUCACUCAAGAAUUGAUUUAUUUGAAAAGAGGAAAUAAUUGAGAGGAAAAAAAUACAGUUGUAUUGAAAAGACAUUAGUAAAAUCGGUACUAAUCUGUUGUUACGUUCUUUUAUAAGCCAAAUGAACUAGUUCACGCCCUUAACUCAAUUGAUGUUGCUAGUAUUUCCAUUGGCAUUGGGUGGUCAUUCCCUGUACAAUUUUUUUGGCGAUCAUUUCAUAUGAAUCGCUUUUAUACACAUGAAUGCGUUACGUAAUGCGAUAGUCAUGUGCGUUGAUGCGACAUUGUCCCUUGCAAGCAACAAUAACGUCUAAUCCAUAUGAACAAACCAAAAUUCUAAACUGUUAAGCUAAUAACAUGCCCUUUUGUUUUGGUCUAAACUUAUUGAGUCUGAUUUAUAUAAUCAAUUUAUUAAAUGAUAUGUUAGGCUAUUAUUGACUUUUAAAUAUGACCAAAUUUCGUCAAGGAUCACCGACAAUCUGAAAUAAGUUAUUUUUGGCAAUGUGUAUUUCCCAGGGGCUGCAGCUCUUUUCGCGGACCACUUCCUAAGAAAGGUUAUGCACAUAUACAAAAGAAUAGACCUAUGGAAGUUCUGUGCUUUGUGCAGUAACAAGUAAACAUCAAACAUCAAAUACGUAUGUAUGUAUAAACACACAAAAAAACAAUGUGCACGAAAACUUAUUUUCUAAUCUUUCUAUUAUAUAAGAAGAAGAUUCAAAAGGAGGCUGGAUUCGUAGCUUAAUAUUUGUAAGACUAAUCAUAAUAACACGAUACUAACGAUAAAAAAAAAUAAUUGUAGUUCCGUUGUCGUUAAUAAACAGGAAUGUAAUUUCCGAUUAAAUUAAACUUUGGUUUUAUCUUAUGAUGAUUUAAAUUACUGCUUCCUUAAUAGAUCGAAAUCUUUAAAUAUAAUCUCUUUCUUAAUAUUUAUUUCAAUCUUUUCCCUUUUUUGCCGAUUAAAUAUAAAUGGAAGAAUCAGUCCCCCUCGUUCCUAUGACCUAGUCAUUGAAAAGAAUUGGUCUAUAUCUAAUUUAAUUCCCUCUAUGCUAACAUCUGUUUAGAUAAGGCAAUGUUUUGGGCACCUUAAGUCAAAGCGAUCACGAAAAGAGUGUUUGUGCUUUUUACGCAACUUCUUUCCCUUUUAUUUGCAAACCCAAUCCUAUCAGAGUUGUAUAAUUUUAAAUAAAGUAGACUAUAAUUGAAAUGUGUACCGAGAAGCAAUUUUGAGAGUGAAAUGCUCGUGCCCCUACUUUUCCGCUUGUGCAAUAAUCACGCCAACGGGUCAUAUGGUAGUCAAGUCAACGGAAAAAAAUGAACUGAUGUUACUCAAGUCCUUGGAGGGAGGCGCAGACUUCCAAGUGGAGUCAAGUCACUGCACCUCGAAUGGGACAAGGCUCGUCAAGUCCCGCGUAGGAGGGAAGUCUUCUUUUCUUUUGUUUUUAUUCGGUGGAGGGAAGUCUUUCACAAAGACCUAGCCUUAGCAAGCCCCCGCGGUUUGAAUAAAAUAAAAGGCAAAAAAUCAUCAACAGUUCUCAAAUUAUACCCAUUAUAAUAUAUUUAUCCUAAUUUUUUUUAUAACAUGAAAAGUUCUAAAUUUAUAUUUGUGUGACAUGUUUUGUAUCUGUUGAUAAGAACAGUUAAAAAUUUGCCUACAUUGAUGCUGGAAAACAAACAUUAUUAACAUGACGCUCAUGUAAUUUAAAGAAAUACAAUCAACAUUAUUUUAAUUGAAAAAUCAUUUGACGAAACCUUUUACGAUGGAACUACAAAAUUUAUGAUAAAUGCAUCAUAAUGAUUAUAGUUUGGCAUUUCUGAUAUCAUAAGUCAAAAUAUAAAACAGUAAAAAGGCCAGAAAAAAAGAAGUUAAGAACUGAUUUAUUUGAAAAUAAAAUGAAAUUGAGAGGAAACACUAUAUCUAUAUCGAAAAGAUAUUAGCAUUGUGACAUGACUAUCCAUACAACAUAAUAACAUUAGUAGUAAUUUUUCGUUACAUCCUUUUUUGAGCCGCACAAAUUACUUCAUAUCCUUAACUCAAUCAAUCUCGCUAGCAUUUUCAUCGGCAUCGGGAGGUAAUCACCUGUACAAGUUCUUGGGCGAUCAUUUCGCAUGAUUGAACACGUCACUUGAUGUGAUGGUCAUGCGCGUUGAUGUGACAUCGUCGCUUGCAAGCCACGGUAACAUUGGAACCAUUGUUGCACUUUAUUUUAGACUUUGGGACUGGGUCAAUUGGUCAACCAUGCUGCCCGAUCCAACGGUCAUCCAAACCCUUGGUAGCCUUGCCUUUGUUUGGUGGGCGUCAGGCUAGCAUUCAUGUUAUUCUUGAGUGAGUCAGAGUGAUGAUCAAUUCAAUACAAGACAGCGGUAUUGCAUUUCCCCAACUUCACGCACCAUCUUUUGAUCCCGAUAAUACAUGUUACGGUAGACAUAAUUUAAAGUUUUUGAUAUCACAAAAAAAUUCAAAGUAAAUAUAUAAGAGUAUGAUUUGAAUUUUUUUUAUGAUUUUUUUCUCAAAAAUAAAUCAUAAAAGGCUUGAGAAAAAAGUGAAAAAAGUUAAUAAUUGAUUUAUUGAAAUGCGGAAGAAAAUGAGGGGAAAGAAAACACUUGUAUGUAAAAGAUAUUAGUAUUGGGAUGUGACUACCUACACAUCAUAGUAACAUCAGUAAUAAUUUCUCGUAUAGUUUUCUUAUUUUUUCAAAGCCGAAUGAACCAGUUCACGCCCUUAAUUCAAUCAAAGUUGCUAGUGUUUCCAUCGGCAUCAGGAGCGACUCCCCAUGCAAGUGCUUCGGCGAUCAUUUCACACAAAUCACUUAUAUACACAAGAAGAUGUUAUGUAAUACAGCAGUGACAUCGUCACUUGCAACUAAUAGUAACAUCAUAACCAUUAAUACCUAUUAGGAUUGAUAUUACAAAAAAAAUCAUAAAUUGGUACACUUGUAAUAAAUUUACUCUAAAUAAAUUAUUUUACCACAAAAACUCCAAAUUAACAUUUUUAUAACAAAUUUACCCUAUAAUAGUUUUCAUUAAAUUGAAUUAUUACCAACAAAAACUACAAAGUCGUAAACCCAAACUGAUACAUUUGUCAAUUGUAAUGUGUUAUUCAAUUCAACCAUUCAAUAAAAUUUAAUGGAAAUUAAUAAAGAGUAAAUGACAUAACAAUUUGAGAUUUUUGGUUAUAAAAAAAUUAAUUUGAGAUAAAUUUUUUAUUUAUAUAUCAUUUUGCAGUUUUUUAUGAUAUUAAUCAUGUACGUUAUUUUCAAGUAGUUACUCAGUCAAUUGAGCAACCGUGUUACACGAUUUGUCGGUCAUCCAAACCCUAGACAACCUUGCCCGCGUUUGGGGGCGCCGGGCGAGCAUUCUCGUUAUUCUUGACUGAGUCCAAGUGAGGUGACCAAUGCAAGACGACGGCAUUGGCUUCCCCCAAUUGCACGCCACACCUUUUGAUCCUGAGACUGUUCCUUUUGUUGAGAUAUCUCCAUUUUCUAAUGACGAAAAAAGUCUGGUUUUACUUAUAUGAAUGAUAAUCCGUGCGAGGAAUCGAAUUUGUUGCGUGCGUCUAAUCCUUAUAGACAAACCAAAAUUCAAAAUUGUUAAGCCAGCAUCAUGGGUUUUUGUCCUGGGGUAACCUUAUUAAGACUGCUCUAUAUAAUCAAUUUAACUUACGAGCCUCACUUUAAUGCCAUAGCCUUUGAUAAUUAUUCACCAUAAAUGUCAAAAAUCCAACAUGAGAUGUCAUGUGAUAAAUUUAAAAAUUAUGACGUUCAAGGAAAUGUUUUUAAGAGUAAUGACAUUCCCGUAAUCAAUUAAAAGAUAUAGCACUCUAAUGAAUAUCGUAUACGAGUUAUGACACUUGUUAUAUUUUCAUUCUUAUAAUUGAAUUUCCAAGUAUUCAAAAUCUUGGUUAGUACGAGAUUGAGAAUAUAAUUUUAAUAAAAGAAAACGUUUUUCAUUUGUUGUUAGGUGAUAAGCUGAAAAGUUCUCUAAAUUUAUUGAACGUUUCAAGUUAAUGAUUGAGAACGAGUAAUGCUAGAUGUGCUAAUUAAUAUGAUAAAUAUCAGUGAAGUUACCUCCUGUGCAUGUAAUUCAUUUAAUGCUAUGGCCAUGAGAUAAUUAUUUUGUUUUCCAAAUAAAAAAAAAUAGAGAGAGAAUUUAAGAAUAUGUAACUCCAUUGUAUAUGUGCAAUUUAUCAUAGCUUGAAUUCUUUACUUAUAAUGCACCAUGCGAUCCUAUAAAGUCGUUUCUUCACGUGGUCCGACCCAAAGUUCCAAACUCAUCCGUGUAAAGCUAGAUGCACGCGUCGCUCCUACAACCAACUUUGGCCUCGAUGAGAGUGACCCCGUGUUUGUGGAAAAUGCUUAGCUAACCGUACCGUUAGCUUGGAAAAUGGAAGGUCAAUCCUCAGCCACACAUCUUCGAUGAAAGAGAAGGAGACUUGUGUCUUGCUCGGAAAACUUCCUAGUGUUUGCAUUUGAGAAGGGAAACAUUCUUUGACCGUCACAGUGAGACAAUGAUGCUAGCACCACUCUUUGCGGAAGGAUUAGUAUUCCACGCUAUUUAAGGGCGCAUAUGAUAAAAUUUCUACUUAUCUAUUUAUCUGUUUCUCUGUUUUUUGGAACAGGUUUGGAACAGAAAUUUGUUUGGUAACGCAAUUUGAUUUUUCUAUUUCUGAAAUAAAUUCGAAAAAGAAAUCAAAAUCUAAAAUUUUUAACUUCUCAAUUUAUAAAAAAAAAAUUGAGAAAUCAAUUUAUAUUCCAAAAAUUUUGUCAUGCACACCUUAAGCCGUCAUCAUCGGCCACUCCCUGCGUAGGGAAAAAUCUACCGAUGAAAGUUGAAGAUCUUGUAAUGGUCUUCUUCCUUUAUUGUUCUCAUCUACUUGUAUCUCUAUCAUCCACUUUUUAUUUUUUAUUUUUUUGGCUCCAUGCACUACUAAAAUCCAACCAUGACCUCCACAGAGGACGGCUCAUACGUCUCAUCUUCAACAAUGGAGCUGAAAAAGCCAGCAUCCACCAUGUCUGCACAGCCUCCUCCAAUCAGUCCUUUUCUUCUUCGUCUUCCUUCUGUCCUUCUCUGUCUUCUAAUCCUAAUGUUCGACCUCUCAAACGCUCAACGCUGCUAUGACACGGGCAACUUCACAGCUACCAGCAACUUCGCCAAGAACCGGGAGCUUGUCCUCUCUUCUCUCCCUAGCGAUGUGGCUUCAAACGGCGGGUUCUACUCUGGGAAGGUAGGGAACAGCUCGGACGUUGUUUAUGUGCUCAGUUUCUGCAGAGGCGACUCUUCGAACGACUCUUGCUUCAAGUGCUUAAGCUCUGCUGCUGAAGAUUUGAUGAUCAAGUGUCCAAAACAAAAAGCUGCGGUCACCUGGGGGACAGGAGAUCCUCCUUGCAUCAUCCGUUACGCUGAUGGUCCGAUGUACGGCGUGAAGCAGGCAUUUCCGACACUACUUUAUUAUAACACAGGCAACAUCACGAUGGAUCAGGAUCAGUUCGAUCGGACAUGGAGGAAUUUUACAGAGGAGCUGGCAACAAGGGCUUCAAUGGGGACGUCAGAGCUCAAGUUCAUAGCAGGGAGAACGGUGUUGCCGAACACCCAGACCAUGUUCGCGCUGUUGCAGUGCAGCCCUGAUUUGUCUCAGAUUGAUUGUCGGGUUUGCUUGUGGGAAUGCAUAAAUGAUUAUCAAGAUUGUUGCCAUGGAAAACGAGGCGGGGGUGUUAACAAGCCGAGCUGCAUUUUCCAAUGGGACUUGUACCCAUUUUUCCAGUCUGAUCCCAUCAAUCUGCUGCCAUCUCCGCCACCACCAACUGCAGUCACCAAGGCCAACCCUGCUGCUCCUCCACCUGCAAAUGCACAAGUCACCAAUGGUUGGUUGAAUUUCAAUGUUACUUCUGAUUUUAAAUUCAUGAAUCACAACUCUCAUUCAAAGUCCGCNNNNNNNNNNNNNNNNNNNNNNNNNNNNNNNNNNNNNNNNNNNNNNNNNNNNNNNNNNNNNNNNNNNNNNNNNNNNNNNNNNNNNNNNNNNNNNNNNNNNAUGGGGAUUAGUAGAGUUGAAUGUUGGAUAUGCAUGCCAUAGAAAAGAAUCAUUUUAUUCUGAAAUGCUAACAAUCAUGAGUUUCGAUUUCAAAUUGGAUUAAACGCAUUGCUUGAUGUUGGCAGGUAAUAUCUCGAAGUCAUUACGCAUUGUGGUUGCUGUGAUAGGUUCAGCAGCUCUCUUUGUUGUGAUAAUUGUCUCCGUUUGUUGCUUGAUUAGAAGGAGAAGAAGUAAUCCAUUGAUGGUCUCAUCUGGUUAGUGGAUUUAUUAAUAGUUUUGUGUUAUUCAUCUUAGUUCUGUUUGACUGACUUCUUAUCAAGCUUAGCAUAAGGAUUAAGUAGUGUGGGAAGGAGAACUGCGAGAUUUUGAUUUAUAUUCGCCUUCUGAGAGAUGGUGCGGAAUCUAAAACCAAUGCUACGUUUUUGUUAAAUAAUUACGAAAACCCAAAUGGCAUGUUAAGAAUAAUAAAAUGUUAACUUUUUUUUUCUGAUCGGAUUUUGGAGGUCUCAUGUUGAUUGCUCUGCAUUUUCUUCAGCAAAAGACGAGGUCAAAACUGCUGAAAGCUUACAGUUCAAAAUAAGCGAGAUCAGGGCCGCCACAAAUUCCUUUGCAGAAGGCAAUAAGCUUGGAGAAGGGGGAUUCGGGAAAGUGUAUCGGGUAUAAGAAGUGGGCUAUAUCUUUCUCUUUUUCUUAAGACUUUUAAUGAUAAAGUUUCUAAUUUUGUCUCUCUAGCUAUAAGAAUGACUUUGGUCAGCGCUUCCUCGUUAUCAUUAAAGGUAUCCACGGCACUCUUGUGUGGACGACGUAAACAAAUUUUGAAUAUCGCUUAAAAGUUCAGAAGUCAUUAACCUAAAUUAACAAAUAAAGGAAAUGACGUGAAGAGUUCAUGAGACCUUGCCACCAUUAACAAUUUUUUUCAGGGUAGGCUUCCCAACGGGCAAGAAAUAGCUGUGAAGAGGCUAUCACAAAGCUCAAGGCAAGGCCUCCAAGAAUUUAAGAAUGAGAUUGUGUUGGUCGCGAAGCUUCAACACCGGAAUUUAGUGAGACUGCUUGGAUUUUGCUUCGAAGAAGGGGAAAAGCUACUGAUAUACGAGCUUAUGCCCAACAAAAGUCUUGACUACUUCAUGUUCGGUUAGUUCCACUUCACUGGCUUUAUGCUUAGCUCUUAAGUUAAUGUCCAAUAUAGAUGAUUGAGCAAAUACUUGUUUACUAUAUCUUGUAUGACAUUUCGAAUCUAACUCUAGACUUCCUAGAUUAUACUUACUCUCGUUCACAUCCUUAAAUCACUACUUAGACCCUGAGAAAAGCAAACAACUGGACUGGCCAAGACGUUACAACAUAAUAUCAGGCAUCGCUCGAGGGAUGCUCUAUCUUCAUGAAGAUUCUCGGCUUCGAAUCAUUCACCGUGAUUUAAAAGCUAGCAACAUCUUGCUGGACAACAAUAUGAACCCAAAGAUUUCGGAUUUUGGCAUGGCAAGGAUUUUUGGAGUUGAUCAAACUAACGCAAGCACUAGAAGAAUCGUAGGAACCUAGUAAGUUUUGCAUUUUUCCAAGUUUACUACUAGGUUCUUCUGGUUAAGAAUUGAUAAGGAUAUUAGUAUAGAUGACUGUUAUCCAUACAUUUAUGGUUUUGGUGGUGGUUUUCAGCGGUUACAUGUCUCCGGAAUAUGCGAUGCAUGGGCAAUUCUCUCAAAAGUCCGAUGUUUACAGCUUCGGUGUCCUCCUCCUCGAGAUCAUUUGCGGCAAGAGGAAUGACUACUACUGCCAAUCUGAUGGAGGUGAAGCUCUAGCAAGCUAUGUAAGUUUUCUUUUUUCUUUUUCUUUUUUUAAAUUAUAUAAUUGUUUUGUGCUCACAAGCAACGAUAUUGUUCUAUGGUUCACUUGUUGUGUCCAAUUGAAUUGCUCUAGGCUUGGAAACAUUGGAGAGACAAUGUGCCUUGGGAAAUCUUGGACCCGGUAUUGGGAAAAUCUUAUUCCAGAAGCCAAGUGCUAAGAUGCAUACACAUUGGCUUUCUAUGUGUUCAGGAAGAUCCGGCUGAUAGACCCACCAUGGCAAGCAUAGUUCUUAUGCUGAGCAGCCAAACUCUUAGUCUGCCAAUGCCACGGGAACCUGCCUUUUUCCUCCGAAGCUGGACGGAACCACCAAAGAACAUCAUAGCAAAUGACCAAGGACAUGAUCAAAAUACUAGCGGCUCCACACCUUUGUCGGUCAAUGGAGUGUCGAUCACUGAACUCUCCGCUCGAUGAAGCACAUGAACAUCUAUUCAUGACAUGAUUUCAUCUGCUUCUCAAGCUAAUUAUGUGGAUGUUGCGUCCAGAAGUACUAUUUAGUUUUACAUUAACUGUUUGAUGAGUGCGGUUGUAGUCACUAAUAAAUUGGUAGUAAAGCGGUUGUUUCCUUUUCUCUUUGUAUCAUGAACAACUUUUGUCUCUUAGAAAAAAAUUUUAAGUCAUCAUAAGAUAUUUAUGCUCUCUUUCUCCAACUCUUUUUCCCUUUUCUUAUUCUCGAGUUCGCACUGGAUUCAUUUCUGGUACGAACUUGGACAUUCAAAUUUGUUGCUUGCAUUUCGCUAAUAAUUAGUGUAUCGACUGGAGAGAUUUGUGCAUUAAACCAUUUGAGCUUCAUACAUUUCUUCUAGCUACCCCUUGCCCAAUGUUGCCCCCGUCACACUGAAGCACCAUCAUUGGCAUUGGCAUAAUUUCUUGAUUACAAAACGCGCUUUUGACUUGAACCAUGCCCUGUGUUGGGAAAAAAAUCAACAACUAAAUUUGAAGAUCUUGUGAUGGCCUUCUGCCUUUAUGGUCCCCACUUACUUCAAUCUCUAUCAUCCACUUUUUCUCUCCAGGCAUUACAGCCAUCCAACCAUGACCUCCAUAGUGAACGACUACGUCUCAUCUUCAACAACGGAGCUGAAGCAGCCUGCAACCGCCAUGUCUGGACAGCCUCUUUCAUUCCCUCCCCUUUUUCUUCAUCUUCCUACCGUCCUUCUCUGUCUUCACAUCCUAGCAUUCGACCUAUCCAAUGCUGAACACUGCUAUGACAUGGGCAACUUCACGGCUGCCAGCAGAUGCUCGAAGAACUGCGAACUUGUCAUCUCUUCUCUCCCUUGCUUCAUGGCUUCAAAUGGUGGGUUCUUCACCGGGAAUGUCAGGAAUGGGUCGAAUGUCAUUUACAUGCUCAGUUUUUACAGAGGCGACUCUUCAAACGACACUUGCAUCAAGUGCAUAAGUGCUACUGCUGAAGAUUUGAUAAUCAAGUGUCCAAACCAGAAAGCUACAUACUCAAAGGGGACAUAUAAUCCUCCUUGCUUCAUCCGUUACUCUGAUAGUCCAAUGUACGGCAUGAAGAAAACGUUUCCGACAUUAAAGUUUUAUCACACCGGCGACAUCCCGAUGGAUCAGGAUCAGUUCAAUUGGAUAUGGAGAAACUUGACGGAGGCACUGGCGACAAGGGCUUCUAUGGGGACGUUGGACCUCAAAUUUGCAGUAGGGAGCACAGUGUUGCCAAAUAACCAAACCACGUACUUUAUGGGAAAACAGUAACAAUUCGAACAAUAUCAAAUCAACGCAGCAGAAUAAAAUAAUCUCCCCUCUUGUGUAAACCUAAUAGGAAUCGAUAUAGUAGAAUAAAAUAAAUACCAAGCACGCGAACAAAAGACGAUUUUUUACGUGGAAAACCUCCUCGAUAUGAGGAGAUCAAAAACCAUGGGAUUGGAGUCCACCCGAAAUUCUUCACUAUCAACAAAAUUAUUUUUCUCUAGCAAAUACUAGAAGUACAUAGCAGCAAAAACCUCAAUAAUAUAAUUCUUGGCAAUACACAUAAACUUCACAAGAGAUCAAGGAUAAAUCUGACAAAAAACGUAGGUUUUGAUCAAUCCACGAAAAACCUAAUGUAUGGAGUCUCAAACAAAUAUCAAACCAUUCAGAUUCGAUAAAAUUGUGCCACGAACAUGCUGACAAAAUUUCAGCUCAAUCGGACCAUGAAUCGACCUCCGACGCCAGCUUGAUAUAAAUCAGAUAUUACCCCAAAUCCUAGAUUUUCUACUUUCUCUUUUUCUCUUGUUACUGUUUCAUUUUUUUUGCAACUACCUCUUUAUAUAGAUAGUGAAAAAUCCUAUUUCCUCAUAUAACUUAUCAGGCUCAAGCCCUUUUUGGGCUUGUAAUUCAUUGGGCUUCCUCCACAUAGGAGUGAAUCCAGCUAACAGUACUCGUCAUUGCAGUGCAGCCCCGAUUUGUCUCAAGGUGAUUGCCCGAGUUGCUUGGGGAAUGCGUCAAUGAUUAUCAAGGAUGUUGCCAUGGAAGACUAGGCGGGUCUAUUUACAAGCCUAGCUGCAUUUUCCGAUGGGAAUUGUACCCAUUUCUCGAGUCCAAUCCCAGCAAUCUACUGCCAUCUUUGCGGUCGUCAACUGUUGCUACCGAGACAUCUCCUGCUCCUCUGCCUGCAAAUGCCCCAGUCACCAGCAGUUGGUUCAAUUUGACAAUUACUAGUGAUUUAAAAAUCAUGAAUUAUAAUGCUUAUCCAGAGUUCGUGCCUGCUAUGUGGAAAAAAAGCCUUAUCAGAUACCCAUGAACUUGUUAGUUUCCAUGUAGUCGAGCCAAAUGUUUGGAUUUGCAUGCUAUGAAAAGAAUCAUUUGAAUCUACAAUGCUAGCAAUGAUGAGUUUCAAUGUCAAAUUGGAUUAAACGCGUUGCAUGAUGUUGGCAGGUAAUAUGUCGAACUCAUUACGCAUCAUCAUUGCUGGGGUAGGUUCGACAGUUCUCUUCACGAUGGUUAUUGUCUCUGCGUGUUGCUUUAUUAGAUGGAGAAGAAGUAAUCCAUGGAAGGUCUCAUCUGGUUAGUGGAUUUAUUGGUUGUUUAGUGUUCUGCAUUUGAGUUGUUAUUGAAUGACUUGUUAGCAAACUUAGCACAAGGAUUAAAUAGCGUGGGAGGGACGAUGAUGCAAUUUUGGUUUACAUUCCCUCACUGAGAGAUGGCGCAGAACUACAACCAAUCCUAAAUUUUUGUUAAAAUGAGCCCAAAUGGCAUGUUAAGAACAAGAAUAAUCUAACCUUUUUUUCUGAUUGGAUUAUUGAGAUCUCACGUUGAUUGCUCUGCAUUUUCUUCAGUAAAAGAUGGCUGAAACCACCAAAACCUCACAGUACAAAAUAAGCAAGAUCAGGACUGCUACAAAUUUCUUUUCAGAAGCCAAUAAGCUUGGAGAGGAGGCAUUCGGAAAAGUGUAUCAAGUGGCUGGAAAAUUUAUUCAAUGGUUGCCUGGGAAUUACAUCAUCACAUGGAGAUAAACGUUGUUUCUUUUGAAUGAAAACUUGACUGUAGGGCAAGCCUGAAAAUGGACAAGUCAUUGCUGUCAAGAGGCUUCAAGGGUGUUCUAAACCUAAACCCUUUGUAAUUGCGCCAAUUUAGUCCAUCCAUCCAAAUUUGUCCAGCCAAUGCUGACGUGGACGCCUGCCAUCAUCGGCCGUCAGCAUCGGCCGUCGGCAAACAUUGCAAUGGCAAUUUUAAUAAUAUUCUACAUUUUUUGAAUUUUUUAUUUUUCCUUUUACCUUUCUUUUUUAUCUUCUUCUUCUUCUUUGGCUUAUUCUCCCCAGCAGCGGCAAUCGAGGUUCCGGUGGGGCUUGCCAGCCACUAGGUGAGGGCCAUUCAAAAAUUGCCACAUUAGCAUUCGUCGGACGAAUGGUGUCGAGUGGCGUCCACAUCAGCAUCGGCCAGUCAAAUUUGAUCGGAUGGACUGAAUUAAUAUAAUUGUAAAAGGUUUAGAACUAAGUUGGCAAAAAAAAAGGUUUAUGACUAAAUUAAUACAAUUGCAAUAGGUUUAUGACAUUUUUUUAUUAUUCUCCCAUUGAAAAGUAAUGGUAUUUAACUAAAUAAUUUUUUAAAGGUCAUGGACUCAAGUGAUCAAUUGAAAGUAUAGCUUAUAAUUAUUGACACCUAAUCUUUUAGAAAAUAAAAAAUAAAAUAAAAAUUCGGUUUUGAAAAUCUUUCUUGUUGAAAAUAUAUCCUCAUUUCAAAAUUCAACAAAAAAAAAAUUCAGUUUUUAUAUGAUUUUGGAGCCUUUUUAUUGUUGAGUGGUUAAGUGAAUAUGUGCAAAUACACUGGGAAAUCUUCAACAACUUUGAGUUUUUUUUUUUUCACUAUAAAUGAAAUGCGAGGCUUCGGAACCGUGUGGGGGCUUCUUCAUUCGGUUUUUGAAAAGUUCACAAAAGAAAAAAGAGUUUUGGUAAGGAGAAAAGUCAAAAGAAAAAAGGUGGAGAGAAAAGAAGAUACAGACAGAGAUGACGUGAGGCAAAGCAGAAAAGUGAGAACGAGGGAGACGUGUGAGGGUACAGUAGAGAGAGAUAGAGACAGGAGAGAGAGAGAGAGAGAGAGAGAGAGAGAGAGAGAGUAAAAAGAAAAGAAGAACACUAUUCUUCUUCCCCGGUGCCCGCUGUCGUCUGCCUGUGCUCCGUCCCCUGCCCGCCGUCUCGACACACCGACACCACCGGAGCCUGACGCCGUACCUCAGUGACCUUCGUGUCCCCGGCGCCACUACUCUCCACCCAUGAGUACCACUGCAACCUCUGCGACUGACCCGCGACGACCCAACAUUUGCUCUUGCCGCCGGUCCGUUGCUUCCCCCCUGCCGAAGCUCUGCCGAAACCGGACCCUAGUCGGAUCUAUCCAACGCCUGCAACCCGCCGGCUCCGAGCUUCCCUGACGACCACUGCUGCAGCUCCCGCGUUGCUAUCUCUCAACCCGUAGCACAGAAGCCCCGACGCCCUUGUUUCGCCUCUAUCGUCGCUGAUCUGCAGCACCAGAAGCUUCGACACCCCUACUCCGCCUCACUGUGCGACGCCCCCGAUCGAAGCUCGUUUUCUCACGCUGGUAGCCGCCACGCCAGCAACCCGCGAAGCCACCUACUGCUCGAAGCGAUCCCUUGUUUUGUUGCAGGUCUACCUUCGCCGGACCUCACCUGAUCUCGCUGGAGUUCCGACGCCAGUCGUGUCCUUCAUCCGAGCCGGCCCUCUAUCGACACUGUUGUCCUCCCCUAGGUAGUUUAUUUUUCAUUUUUUUAUUUUAUUGUCAUUUAUUUAUUCUUUUUAAAUUUUGUUAUUAUUGUUUAAGUUAGAAUAUGGUUUGUCAAUGUUAAUAUUUAUGCAUUUUGUAGGCAUUAUCCGCUAGGAUUUUGUUCGGAAUGAAUGUAAUUAUUAAUUUAAUCCGAGAGACAUUGGAUUUUUUUUUAAUUAUAUUAAUUUUUGGACUUUUGGUAGAAUUUUAAUUAUUAAAUCAUUAUAAUUAUUAAUUUGAUCCGUAAGACUUCGAAUCAUAGUUUUUAUUAUUUUGAUCUCUUUGUCGUGAUAAUUAGGGUUAUGAUAAUCAUUAAUUUGACAUGUGAGACAACAUCUUAUAUUUUCGAUUAUUUUAAUCAUUUAUUUUGUGAAACCCAGCCUGUGAUGAGAGGGUCUAUGAUUUAUAACUUUAUAAAUAGUACUCAAGUCUAUCUUUUAACCUCAAUGCAUAUAAGGAGCAUUUACUGAAUGCUGACGGUGAGGAGCAGUCUCAUUAAGCCAAUGAGAUGAAGGGUAAUAUAUGAGAAGCACUUGAGCUCUGGAUCAUUGCUAUUUCACAUAAAAAAUGAAUGAUCUCAAAUCUAGUGCACAAAUCACUUUUCUCCAUUAAUGUUUUCUAGAUUUUAGCCAUGGAAAUUUUAGGUGCCAUAUUCACGACUAACAACAGAAACUUUGGUCCAAAAGUUAUUGGGAACUAGGACUAAGAAAAUCGUCCAAGUUGACUCUAUCGACCUUUUCUAAUGGUCGACUUCUAUUUUCUUCGCAACAUUUUUGCCAAUACAUGUUCAGAAAAUACAACAUUGCAAACCAAGGUAUUGUAAUGUAGUCCUCGUAGUCUUAAGUUGCACGAACUCAGUCACGCACACCCCCAGAACUGAAUAAAUUCUAAUUAUGGAACGCUAGAAAAUUCUGGGAUUGGCAAGAAUAUAUCGCCUACAUUCAUUGAAGGAAGUACAGUAAUGACCAUGCACAAAGAGCAAUUUCUUCAUAGAGAUAAGAUUUAUUCAGUAAAUGAGUAUGCCUGGUAUCUCAUUCUGCAGUCUUUGAGUUGGAGCUGAGCCCCGACUCCCAAGCACUGUGUAAAGAGCACUUCAAGAGCAUACUCCAAGCACCUAGUACAGUCAUAAUCAGCAAGGGCGCCGUUGCAAGCCGCAUGACAUAGCACUGAAAUCUGAAAACCGUGUUAUCUCCAUAGUAGUUGUAUCCAGAUUCUGCGGUAUUGAUCCGUAGAUCUAACAGUAAUAGUAAUCAUCUCCCUCGUUGUAUUUGACUCCAUUGCAUAUUUGCUGCACCACGGUUUCAUCCGGCAAGGCUUUCGCAAUCUGGCAGAUAUAGUGAAGACCAAUGAUGGUAGUAGCCACGAUUCUCUUAAUAGAAGCCAUUUUCGUUUCUCUAUACCUUCGUUUCUCUCUCUGACUUCCUGUUUUCUUUGCUGGAAUGCCCCAGGCCUUUUAAAAUGCUGAGCUCGGUUGCAGCAUUAAUUGUCACGCUCUCCCUUUUCGUAGUGACGUCUACGAUGACGUGCUUCACCUAAAACUCAUCGCUUGUCCUUGCCUGAUCGGUGAUUACCAUGCUCGGUUCUUACUGGAUUAGAAUCUUGAUGCUGAAACUUAUUCACUUGGUGUGCAGCCGAAGAAUUCAUGAUGCUCUUGUCGUAUCCUAGUUUUACAUCUUUCUCUAACUACAUAAUAAAGGUAUUUGUGUCGCAAUGCAUUCUUUUCCUUUAUUUUCUCUCACUAGAAUCCAAACAAAAUAUUAACUCAAUCUCCACAAACCCUAUCUCUUUUCUUCUCUCGUAAUGAUUUAGAUCCCUUCUUUACUUUCGAAUUCUUCCGGCCAAAGGAUAUUAUUCUUCAUGGGAAAUACUCUUCCCUUUGUGAUUCAAGGCGAAAUGAGAGAGUGGCACCAUGCGGACACUAUUCAUAUUAUGCCAANNNNNNNNNNNNNNNNNNNNNNNNNNNNNNNNNNNNNNNNNNNNNNNNNNNNNNNNNNNNNNNNNNNNNNNNNNNNNNNNNNNNNNNNNNNNNNNNNNNNNNNNNNNNNNNNNNNNNNNNNNNNNNNNNNNNNNNNNNNNNNNNNNNNNNNNNNNNNNNNNNNNNNNNNNNNNNNNNNNNNNNNNNNNNNNNNNNNNNNNNNNNNNNNNNNNNNNNNNNNNNNNNNNNNNNNNNNNNNNNNNNNNNNNNNNNNNNNNNNNNNNNNNNNNNNNNNNNNNNNNNNNNNNNNNNNNNNNNNNNNNNNNNNNNNNNNNNNNNNNNNNNNNNNNNNNNNNNNNNNNNNNNNNNNNNNNNNNNNNNNNNNNNNNNNNNNNNNNNNNNNNNNNNNNNNNNNNNNNNNNNNNNNNNNNNNNNNNNNNNNNNNNNNNNNNNNNNNNNNNNNNNNNNNNNNNNNNNNNNNNNNNNNNNNNNNNNNNNNNNNNNNNNNNNNNNNNNNNNNNNNNNNNNNNNNNNNNNNNNNNNNNNNNNNNNNNNNNNNNNNNNNNNNNNNNNNNNNNNNNNNNNNNNNNNNNNNNNNNNNNNNNNNNNNNNNNNNNNNNNNNNNNNNNNNNNNNNNNNNNNNNNNNNNNNNNNNNNNNNNNNNNNNNNNNNNNNNNNNNNNNNNNNNNNNNNNNNNNNNNNNNNNNNNNNNNNNNNNNNNNNNNNNNNNNNNNNNNNNNNNNNNNNNNNNNNNNNNNNNNNNNNNNNNNNNNNNNNNNNNNNNNNNNNNNNNNNNNNNNNNNNNNNNNNNNNNNNNNNNNNNNNNNNNNNNNNNNNNNNNNNNNNNNNNNNNNNNNNNNNNNNNNNNNNNNNNNNNNNNNNNNNNNNNNNNNNNNNNNNNNNNNNNNNNNNNNNNNNNNNNNNNNNNNNNNNNNNNNNNNNNNNNNNNNNNNNNNNNNNNNNNNNNNNNNNNNNNNNNNNNNNNNNNNNNNNNNNNNNNNNNNNNNNNNNNNNUUUUUUUUUUUUUUUGAGUAAAGGAAUGAUAAGACUUUUACUUUGUUAAUAUUCCAUAAUCUCAUAUGUCUAAAUAAUGAGUUUGAUCCAUGGAUAGUGGAAAUGAUGGUCAUUAAAGGUAAUAAUUUGUGUAGUUGUUCAAUUAAAAGUACAUGUGGAACUUAGUUAGGCCCUUGGACUGACCCUAGAAUCUAUGGCAAGAUAGGUUUAGAUUAAAAAAAUUACGGAAUUUGUUCCGACAAAUAGGUUCUAAAUUUCAAGUGGAACCUAAAACUGUUCAUCCCUAAUAAACACACCAAUGCGUUGAUAGCUUUUUCACUCAAGAAUUGAUUUAUUUGAAAAGAGGAAAUAAUUGAGAGGAAAAAAAUACAGUUGUAUUGAAAAGACAUUAGUAAAAUCGGUACUAAUCUGUUGUUACGUUCUUUUAUAAGCCAAAUGAACUAGUUCACACCCUUAACUCAAUUGAUGUUGCUAGUAUUUCCAUUGGCAUUGGGUGGUCAUUCCCUGUACAAUUUUUUUGGCGAUCAUUUCAUAUGAAUCACUUUUAUACACAUGGAUGCGUUACGUAAUGUGAUAGUCGUGCGUUGAUGCGACAUUGUCCCUUGCAAGCAACAAUAACGUCUAAUCCACAUGAACAAACCAAAAUUCUAAACUGUUAAGCUAAUAACAUGCCUUUUUGUUUUGCUCUAAACUUAUUGAGUCUGAUUUAUAUAAUCAAUUUAUUAAAUGAUAUGUUAGGCUAUUAUUGACUUUUAAAUAUGACCAAAUUUCGUCAAGGAUCACCGACAAUCUGAAAUAAGUUAUUUUUGGCAAUGUGUAUUUCCCAGGGGCUGCACAUAUACAAAAGAAUAGACCUAUGGAAGUUCUGUGCUUUGUGCAGUAACAAGUAAACAUCAAACAUCAAAUAUGUAUGUAUGUAUAAACACAAAAGAGAAAACAAUGCGCAUGAAAAGUUAUUUUCUAAUCUUUCUAUUAUAUAAGAAGAUUCAAAAGGAGGCUGGAUCCGUAGCACUUUCUCAAUUAUAACUUGAACUAAUAUAUAUUUGCAAGACUAAUCAUAAUCACACGAUACUAAUGAUGGAUAAAAUUAUAAUUCCAUCGUAGUUAAUAAAACAGGAAUGCAAUUUCUGAUUAAAUUGAAGUUUGGUUUUAUCUAUGAUGAUCUAAAUUACUGCUUCCUUAAUAGAUCGAAAUCUUUAAAUAAUCUCUUUCUUAAUGUUUAUUUCGAUCUUUUCCCUUUUUUGCCAAUUUAAUAUAAAUGGAAGAAUCAGUCCUCCUCGUUCCUAUGAUCUAGUCAUUGAAAAGAAUUGGUCUAUAUCUAAUUUAAUUCCCUCUAUGCUAACACCUUUUUAGAUAAGGUAAUGUCUUGGGCACCUUAAGUCAAAGCGAUCACGAAAAGAGUGUAUGUGCUUUUUACGCAACUUCUUUCCCUUUUAUUUGCAAACCCAAUCCUAUCAGAGUUGUAUAAUUUUUAAAUAAGGUAGACUAUAAUUGAAAUGUGUAUCGAGAAGCAAUUUUGAGAGUGAAAUGGUCGUGACCCUACUUUUCCGCCUGUGCAAUAAUCACGCCAACGGGUCAUUUGGUGGUCAAGUCAACGGAAAAAAUGAACUGAUGUUACUCAAGUCAUUAGAGGGAGGCGCAGACUUCCAAGUGGACUCAAGUCACGAAUUGGACAAGGCUCGUCAACUCCCGCGUGGGAGGGAAGUCUUCUUUUCUUUUGUUUUUGUCGGUGGAGGGAAGUCUUACACAAAGACCUAGUCUUAGCAAGCCCCCGCGGCUUGUAUAAAAUAAAAGGCAAAAAUCAUCAACAGUUCUUGAAUUAUAACCGUUAUGAUAUAUUUAUCAUAAUUUUUUUUUAGUAACAUGAAAAAUUAUAAACUUGUACUUGAGUGACAUAUUUACUAUAUGUCGAUUAAGGACCGUUAAAAAUGUGCCUACAUUGAUGCUGGAAAACAAACAUUGUUAAUAUGACGCUUAUGUAAUUUAAAUGAAAUACAAACGAUGUUAUUUUAAUUGAAAAAUCAUCUGACGAAACCUUUUACGGAGGGUAAAUGUUUAUGCAACUACAAAUUUAUGAUAAAUGCAUCAUAAUGAGCAUAGUUUAACAUUUCUAAUAUCACAAGCCGAAAAAUAAAACAAUAUAAAGGCUGGAAAAAAAAAGACUUAAGAAUUGAUUUAUUUGAAAAUAAAAUAUAAUUGAGAGGAAACACUAAAUCUAUAUUGAAAUGGUAUUAGCAUUGGGACAUGACUAUCCAUACAACAUAAUAACAUCGGUAGUAAUUUUUCGUUACAUCCUUUUUUGAGCCGAACAAAUUACUUCAUAUCCUUAACUCAAUCAAUCUCGCUAGCAUUUUCAUCGGCAUCGGGAGGUAAUAUUACCUGUACAAGUUCUUGGGCGAUCAUUUCGCAUGAUUGAACGCGUUACUUGAUGUGAUGGUCAUGCACGUUGAUGUGACAUCGUCGCUUGCAAGCCACGGUAACAUUGGAACCAUUGUUGCACUUUAUUUUAGACGGUGGGACUGGGUCAAUUGGCCAACCAUGCUGCCAGAUCCAACGGUCAUCCAAACCCUCUGUAGCCUUGCCUUUGUUUGGUGGGCGUCAGGCUAGCAUUCUUGUUAUUCUUGACCGAGUCAAAGUGAUGGUCAAUACAAGAUCGCGGUAUUGCAUUUUCCCAACUGCACGCAACAUCUUUUGAUCCGGAUAAUACAUGUUAUGGUAGACAUAAUUUAAAGUUUUUUAUAUCAUAAAAAAAUUCAAAGUAAAUAUAUAAGAGUAUGAUCUGAAUUUUUUUAUGAUUUUUUCUCAAAAAUAAAUAAUAAAAGGCUUGAGAAAAAAGUGAAAAAAGUUAAUAAUUGAUUUAUUGAAAUGAGGAAGAAAAUGAGGGGAAAGAAAACACUUGUAUGUAAAAGAUAUUAGUAUUGGGAUGUGACUACCUACACAACAUAGUAACAUCAGUAAUAAUUUCUCGUAUAGUUUUCUUUUUUUUCCCAAGCCGAAUGAACUAGUUCACGCCCUUAAUUCAAUCAAAGUUGCUAGUGUUUCCAUCGGCAUCGGGAGCGACUCCCCAUGCAAGUUCUUCGGCAAUCAUUUCACACAAAUCACUUAUAUACAUAAGAAGACGUUAUGUAAUACGACAGUGACAUUGCUACUUGCAACUAAUAGUAACAUCAAAACCAUUACUGCCCAUUAGGGUUGAUAUUACAAAAAACCAUAAACCGGUAUACUUGUAAUAAAUUUACUCUAAACAAAUUUUUUUACCACAAAAACUCCAAAUUAGUAUUUUUAUAACAAAUUUACCCUAUAAUAGUUUUCGUUAAAUUAAUACCAACAAAAACUACAAGGUCGUAAACCCAAACCGAUACAUUUGUCAAUUGUAAUGUGUUAUUCAAUUCAACAAUUCAACAAUAAAAUUCAACGGAAAUUAACAAAAGGUAAAUAACAUAACAAUUUGAGAUUUUUGGUUGUAAAAAAUUAAUUUGAGAUAAAUGUUUUAUUUAUAUAUCAUUUUGCAGUUUUUUGUGAUAUUAAUCAUGUACAUUAUUUUCAAGUAGUUACUCGGUCAAUUGAGCAACCAUGUUACACGAUUUGUCGGUCAUCCAAACCCUAGACAACCUUGCCCUCGUUUGGGGGCGCCGGGCGAGCAUUCUCGCUAUUCUUGACUGAGUCCAAGUGAGGUGACCAAUGCAAGACGACGGCAUUGGCUUCCCCCAACUGCACGCCACACCUUUUGAUCCUGAGACUGUUCCUUCUGUUGAGAUAUCUCCCUUUUCUAAUGACGAAAAAAGUCCGGUUUUACUUAUAUGAAUGAUAAUCCGUGCGAGGAAUCGAAUUUGUUACGUGCGUCUAAUCCAUACGGACAAACCAAAAUUCAAAAUUGUUAAGCCAGCAUCGCGGGUUUUUGUCAUGGGCUAACCUUAUUAAGACUGCUCUAUAUAAUCAAUUUAUUCAAUAACAUGUCGGGUUAUUAAGGGUUUUUGAAUAUGACUAAAUUAUGUCAAGGAUCACCAACAAUCUAAUAUAUCUCUUGAUAAAUCGUCUUGUAAAGUAGUUUUUAGUAAAUCAAGCUAUUUUGUUUAAGGUUUUGACUUGUCGACAUGUGAUACUUUCCUCUUUUCUUCUUUUUUAACCCCUCACCUUGUCCACUUACAAGUGAAUUCCAUUGCACAAACACGAACCACGUAACCUCUGCAGUAUUUAGCCUGACAAUCUCCGACCCUGCAUCAAGCAAAACCAUCCUAAGCACCACCAGCACCAAAACCGUAACCUGGCUCACUCAUCAUCCACCCUUUAUUUCCUCAUUUCUCUGAGUGUUUUGAUCCGAACAUACCCAUCCCUUGCACUAUACUGCUACAACACCACCGGAAACCUCACGUCGAGCGGCCCCUAUGCGAAGAACCACGACGCUGUCCUCAGCUCUCUAGCCUCCAAUGUGGCUGCACAUGAUGGGUUCUACACCACGAGCACGGGCGAGAACCCAAAGACCAUCUAUGGCAUCACUUUUUGCCGAGGGGAUUCUUCGGCAGAUACCUGCGCAAGCUGCGUGAGCUCCGCAGUCCAAGAUUUGGUCGUUAAGUGCCCUAACCAGAAGGCGGUUUUCUCCUUGGGAAACGCAGAUCCGCCAUGCUUUAUCCGAUACUCGGACACUCCAAUCUAUUGGAUACUGCAAACGAGUCCUACCUAUAAGAUGGGCAACAUUGGCAACCACAUCACCAUGAACCAAGACCAGUUCGAUAAGGUGUGGGGGAACUUGACCCAAAGACUAGUGAACAAAGCUGCGGACGGCUCUUCGAGGCUCAAGUACGUCACAGGACAGGCUGGCUUGCCGGACAACAAGACAAUCUACUCGUUGUUACAGUGUAGUCCCAACUUGUUGCCAAACGAUUGCGGGAGUUGCUUGAGCGAACCCAUUGAUGAUUACAAUAAAUGUCGCCGCGGAUGGCAAGGCGGCUAUGUUUACAAGCCGAGCUGUAAUUUCCGAUGGGAAUUGCAAGGUUUUUCGAGUAAGCCCCAGUCCAUUUUCGUCUUCUCCACCACCUCCUCUUCUCUGUCACAUCCAGCUACUCUGCCGGCCCCAAGAGAAAAUAAUUGCCAAAGGUACGGCGUUUAAAGCUCAUGGAAAAAAUAAUAUCGGUCCUAUGUUCAGGUGCUAAUUAUGGGCAAAUUUGUGCAUUUGCACGGGGCCAAAAGUAUGAGAACCCUAAAUGAAAUUUUUUUAAAGGAUCAAGGGUCAAAAGUGUAUUGUAACCCUUCCCUCAGUGCCUGCAGGCCAGACGACGUAAUCAUCAUUUUGCUAAAGAAUGCCUUCAAGGCACUUGUUAACAAACCAUUUAAAGUAACUACGAAGUUUACUAUACAAUAUUUUUCUCUUUUUAAGUGUAAUCAACACUUUUUGGAAAUCAUAAUGUUCCCUGUUAGGUGUGCUGGGUGCUCACUCUUUCAGGAUUGCAAUUUAAUUGAUGAUUUUAGUUAUGCUGACAAAAACAGUCAUCUGAUCAGGCACCUUGGCUGCUAUUAUCUCUUCGGUCGCUGUUUUUGUAAUGCUUCUCUUCAUCAGUUGUUACCUUCGGAGGAGGCCAGCAGAGAAGAAAUAUGAAGCUGUACAAGAAGGAAGUGGUAAUGAUUGUCCUUUUAUAAAAAUGAACACAAGAAUGAAACUUUCAAAUGAGAAACUAAAAAGAUUUUGAAGCUAUGACCGGAAGACCAGUCCAAAUCUAAACGACUUUGUUAUUCACUCAUGAAGGUGUAAGCGAGAUCACGUCCUUGAAGUCCUUGCAAUUCGAUUGGGAUACUUUGCUUGCCGCCACAAACAAUUUUUCUCAAGAAAACAAGCUUGGCCGAGGUGGAUUCGGUAAGGUUUACCAGGUAUGUUAGUGAUUAUGAAAGACGUCAAAUGCUUUCAGAAGUCACUUGAUGCUCGGUUUGAAUUUGAAAUUGAAAUGACGGUGAUAUAAUGUCGUCAGUGAACUUUAUUUUGGUCCAGUAGGGUACCUGAAAUUUUUUUAGAAGUGCUUCUUCGCUGAAUAGUGCUAGAUGCGGUUUAUUUUUACUGUGUACAUUGACAACUCAACCAUUAUUGAACCAAACCCAUGUCGUGAACUUUCAGCUCACUUAAAUCGCAAUGGACGUUAAGUGGGCUAUAUCAUUCUCUUUUUAUGAAGAAUUUAUUCUAAUUUUGUCUCUUCAGCCCUACGAACGACUGUGGUCAGCGUCUCUUAUUAUCAUAAGAGAUGGCCGCGCCCCUAUCGUGCGGACGACGUAAACAAACAAUUUUACAAGCUAAAAAAAGAGGUGGAGAGUUCAUGAGAUGUUGUCCCCUUUUACAAAUUUUUUGCAGGGUAGGCUUCCCAACGGGCAAGAAAUAGCUGUGAAGAGGCUAUCCCAAAGCUCAAAGCAAGGCGUCCAAGAAUUUAUGAAUGAGAUUGUGUUGGUGGUGAAGCUUCAGCACCGGAAUCUAGUGAGAUUGCUCAAAUUUUGCUUGGAAGGAGAGGAAAAGCUACUCAUAUACAAGUUUGUGCCCAACAAAAGUCUCGACUACUUUGUGUUCGGUUAGUUCCACUUACAAUGGCUUUAUCUUCAUCUCUUAGGUAUAGAUGAUUGAGAGAAUACUUCUUUAUUAUAUCAUAUAUCAUCUUUCGAAUCUAACUCCGAUGCAGAAAGUACUUUUUUUUGACCUGUUGAAAUUAAAAUGUUAUAAUUUUUUUAAAAUAUUAUAAUAUUAUAUGAGCGAAUUUAUAUGUCAACUAGUAUAUUCUAUUCAAAUUUCAUAUUUUUAUAGUUAGAAAAAAUUAAAGUGUGAACCUAACAAGAUUAAGAGUAAGGAAAAGUAAAUUCCAAUCCGGAUGUUUAUAACUUAAUCGGGAAAAGUACCAAAAAAAUCAUAAAUUUAAUGCAUUUGUAUCAAUUUAAUCUUAAACAUUUUAAUUGAAUUAUUUUAAUCAUAAACUAUUUUAAUUUGUACUAAUUUAAUCCAUCUAGUUAAUUUAGGUAAAAAGUCACUAAUAUGAAUGUUGAUCAUCCUACGUGACACACUAGUUGCUAAUGCAAACAUUUUCAAUAAUACUUUAAUAUUUUUUCGAAUUUUUCAGAACUUCUUUUUCUUUUUUUCUUUUUUUUCCUUUUUAUUUUUUCUUCAUUUUGGUCGGCAAAGGUCACCAACAAUCCUCAUCAGCCAUUGGGUGAUGCCUAGCAAGCUCUCGCUAGCCACUAGUAAGGGUUGCGACCCUUGUCAAAUCUAGACUAGGGCCACCUCACCAACCAAAAUGAAGGGAAAAGAAGAAGAAAGAAAAACUAAUAAAAAAUGUAAAAAAUAGAACACAAAAUGAUAAAAGUAAAAAAUUAUUGACAUACCAUCAAAAAUAUAUUUUUGUACUUUUUUCAUCAUAAUUUAAUAUUCUGUAAAGAAAGCGAUGCACUCACAAUUCAGCCACGUCACGCAAAAGCACUUCGACCUAGUCCAUAGGAGCCUGUGUUGGAAAAGAUCAACUUUGAAUAUUCUACCAUGUACUUUUCGUUGCUGUACUUUUCUACCCUAACCCCUAUCAUGGGUUAUGACAUUCUCUGAAACUUCGUACCAAAGCGAUGACCAAGAUUUAUAGCAAAAGUCAAGGUCAAACGACCGUGCAAAAGUCAAGGUCAAAUGAUUGUGACAAAAUCAAUUAUGUCCAAGACAACAGUCUUACGUACGCUGGGCAAAAGUCAAGGUCAAAUGAUUGUGACAAAAUCAAUUAUGUCCAAGACAACAGUCUUACGUACGCUGGAAUGACGGUUCACGUGACAAGAAAAAUUAUUAACAAUUCAAGAGGAGCAAAAAAGUUUAUAUUCAACAAAACAAAGCAUGCCUAAGUAAUCAUUAACUUACGAGCCUCACUUUAAUGCCAUAGCUUUUGAUAAUUGUUCACCAUAAAUGUCAAAAAUCCAUCAUGAGAUGUCAUGUGAUAAAUUUAAAAUUAUGGCGUUCAAGUAAAUGUUUUUAAGAGUAAUAGCAUUCAUGUAAUCAAUUAAAAGAUAUAGCACUCUAAUGAAUAUUGUAUACGAGGUAUGGCACUUGUUAUAUUUUUAUCCUUAUAAUUGAAUUUCCAAGUAUUCAAAAUCUUGGUUAGUACGAGAUUGAGAAUAUAAUUUUAAUAAAAGAAAACGUUUUACAAUUGUUGUUAGGUGAUAAGUUGAAAAGUUCUCUAAAUUUAUUGAAUGUUUCAAGUUAAUCGUUGAGAACAAGUAAUGCUAGAUGUGCUAAUUAAUAUGAUAAAUAUCAGUGAAGCUACCUCUUGUACAUGUAAUUCAUUUAACGCUACGGCCAUGAGAUAAUUAUUUUGUUUUCCAAAUAAAAAAAAAUAGAGAGAAUUUAAGAAUAUGUAACUCCAUUGUAUAUGUGCAAUUUAUCAAAGCUUGGAUUCUUUACUUAUGAUGCACCAUGCGAUCUUAUCAAGUCGUUUCUUCACGUGGUCCGACCCAAAGUUCCAGACUCAUCCGUGUAAAGCUAGAUGCACGCGUCGCUCCUACAACCAACUUUGGCCUCGAUGAGAGACCCCGUGUUUGUGGAAAAUGCUUAGCUAACCGUACCGUUAGCUUGGAAAAUGGAAGGUCAAUCCUCAGCCACACAUCUUGGAUGAAAGAGAGGGAGACUUGUGUCUUGCUCGAAAACUUCCUAGUGUUUGCGUUUGAGAAGGAAAACAUUCUUUGACCGUCACAGUGAGACAGUUAUGCUAGCACCACUCUUUGCGGAAGGAUUAGUAUUCCACGCCAUUUAAAGACACAUAUGAUAAAAUUUCUACUUAUCUAUUUAACUGUUUUUCUAUUUUUCGGAACAGAUUUGGAAUAAAAAUUUAUUUGGUAACGCAAUUUAAUUUUUCUAUUUCUGGAAUAAAUUCGAAGAAGAAAUCAAAAUUUAAAAUUUUUAACUUCUUAAUUUAUAAAAUAAAAAUUGAGAAAUCAAUUUCUGGUCAUAAAUCAAUUUCUAUUUCAAAAUUUUGUCAUGCACAUCCUAAGCCGCCAUCAUCGGCAGACUCCCUGCGUAGGGAAAAAUCUACCGAUGAAAGUUGAAGAUCUUGUAAUGGUCUUCUUCCUUUAUUGUUCUCAUCUACUUGUAUCUCUAUCAUCCACUUUUUAUUUUUUAUUUUUUUGGCUCCAUGCACUACUAAAAUCCAACCAUGACCUCCACAGAGGACGGCUCAUACGUCUCAUCUUCAACAAUGGAGCUGAAAAAGCCAGCAUCCACCAUGUUUGCACAGCCUCCUCCAAUCAGUCCUUUUCUUCUUCGUCUUCCUUCUGUCCUUCUCUGUCUUCUCAUCCUAAUGUUCGACCUCUCAAACGCUCAACACUGCUAUGACACGGGCAACUUCACAGCCACCAGCAACUACGCCAAGAACCGGGAGCUUGUCCUCUCUUCUCUCCCUAGCGAUGUGCCUUCAAACGGCGGGUUCUACUCUGGGAAGGUAGGGAACAGCUCGGACGUUGUUUAUGUGCUCAGUUUCUGCAGAGGCGACUCUUCGAACGACUCUUGCUUCAAGUGCUUAAGCUCUGCUGCUGAAGAUUUGAUGAUCAAGUGUCCAAAACAAAAAGCUGCGGUCACCUGGGGGACAGGAGAUCCUCCUUGCAUCAUCCGUUACGCUGAUGGUCCGAUGUACGCCGUGAAGCAGGCAUUUCCGACACUACAGUAUUAUAACACAGGCAACAUCACGAUGGAUCAGGAUCAGUUCGAUCGGACAUGGAGGAAAUUUACAGAGGAGCUGGCAACAAGGGCUUCAAUGGGGACGUCAGAACUCAAGUUCAUAGCAGGGAGAACGGUGCUGCCGAACACCCAGACCAUGUUCGCGUUGUUGCAGUGCAGCCCUGAUUUGUCUCAGAUUGAUUGUCGGGUUUGCUUGUGGGAAUGCAUAAAUGAUUAUCAAGAUUGUUGCCAUGGAAAACGAGGCGGGGGUGUUAACAAGCCGAGCUGCAUUUUCCAAUGGGACUUGUACCCGUUUUUCCAGUCUGAUCCCAUCGAUCUGCUGCCAUCUCCGCCACCACCAACUGCAGUCACCAAGGCCGACCCUGCUGCUGCUCCACCUGCAAAUGCACAAGUCACCAAUGGUUGGUUCAAUUUCAAGGUUACUGCUGAUUUUAAAUUCAUGAAUCACAACUCUCAUUCAAAGUCCGCACCUGCUAUGUGGGAUAAAGUUUUAUCCGAGACACAUGAAAUUUCCUAUCCAUGUAUCAAUCAAUGGGGAUAAGUAGAGUUGCAUGUUUGGAUGUCCAUGCCAUAGAAAGAAUCAUUUUUAUUCUCAAAUGCUAACAAUCAUGAGUUUCGAUUUCAAAUUGGAUUAAACGCAUUGCUUGAUGUUGGCAGGUAAUAUCUCGAAGUCAUUACGCAUUGUGGUUGCUGUGAUAGGUUCAGCAGCUCUCUUUGUUGUGAUAAUUGUCUCCGUUUGUUGCUUGAUUAGAAGGAGAAGAAGUAAUCCAUUGAUGGUCUCAUCUGGUUAGUGGAUUUAUUAAUAGUUUUGUGUUAUUCAUCUUCGUUCUGUUUGACUGACUUCUUAUCAAGCUUAGCAUAAGGAUUAAGUAGUGUGGGAAGGAGAACAGCGAGAUUUUGAUUUAUAUUCACCUUCUGAGAGAUGGUGCGGAAUCUAAAACCAAUCCUACGUUUUUGUUAAAUAAUUACGAAAACCCAAAUGGCAUGUUAAGAAUAAUAAAAUGUUAACUUUUUUUUAAUUUUCUAAUCGGAUUUUUGGAGGUCUCAUGUUGAUUGCUCUGCAUUUUCUUCAGCAAAAGACGAUGUCAAAACUGCUGAAAGCUUACAGUUCAAAAUAAGCGAGAUCAGGGCCGCCACAAAUUCCUUUGCAGAAGGCAAUAAGCUUGGAGAAGGGGGAUUCGGGAAAGUGUAUCGGGUAUAAGAAGUGGGCUAUAUCUUUCUCUUUUUCUUAAGAAUUUUAAUGAUAAAAUUUCUAAUUUUGUCUCUCUAGCUAUAAGAAUGACUUUGGUCAGCGCUUACUUGUUAUCAUCAAAGGCAUCCACGGCACUCUUGUGUGGACGACGUAAACAGACUUUGAAUAUCGCUUAAAAGUUCAGGAAGUCAUUAACCUAAAUUAACAAAUAAAGGAAAUGACGUGAAGAGUUCAUGAGACCUUGUCACCAUUAACAAUUUUGUUCAGGGUAGGCUUCCCAACGGGCAAGAAAUAGCUGUGAAGAGGCUAUCACAAAGCUCAAGGCAAGGCCUCCAAGAAUUUAAGAAUGAGAUUGUGUUGGUCGCGAAGCUUCAACACCGGAAUUUAGUGAGACUGCUUGGAUUUUGCUUCGAAGAAGGGGAAAAGCUACUGGUAUACGAGCUUAUGCCCAACAAAAGUCUUGACUACUUCAUGUUCGGUUAGUUCCACUUCACUGGCUUUAUGCUCAGCUCUUAAGUUAAUGUCCAAUAUAGAUGAUUGAGCGAAUACUUGUUUACUAUAUCUUGUAUGACAUUUCGAAUCUAACUCUAGACUUCCUAGAUUAUACUUACUCUUGUUCACAUCCUUAAAUCACUACUUAGACCCUGAGAAAAGCAAACAACUGGACUGGCCAAGACGUUACAACAUAAUAUCAGGCAUCGCUCGAGGGAUGCUCUAUCUUCAUGAAGAUUCUCGGCUUCGAAUCAUUCACCGUGAUUUAAAAGCUAGCAACAUCUUGCUGGACAACAAUAUGAACCCAAAGAUUUCGGAUUUUGGCAUGGCAAGGAUUUUUGGAGUUGAUCAAACUAACGCAAGCACUAGAAGAAUCGUAGGAACCUAGUAAGUUUUGCAUUUUUCCAAGUUUACUACUAGGUUCUUCUGGUUAAGAAUUGAUAAGGAUAUUGGUAUAGAUGACUGUUAUCCAUACAUUUAUGGUUUUGGUGGUGGUUUUCAGCGGUUACAUGUCUCCGGAAUAUGCGAUUAAUGGGCAAUUCUCUCAAAAGUCCGAUGUUUACAGCUUCGGUGUCCUCCUCCUCGAGAUCAUUUGCGGCAAGAGGAAUGACUACUACUGCCAAUCUGAUGGAGGUGAAGCUCUAGCAAGCUAUGUAAGUUUUUUUUUUUUUUUAAAUGAUAUAAUUUUUUUGUGCUCACAAGCAACGAUAUUGUUCUAUGGUUCACUUGUUGUGUCCAAUUGAAUUGCUCUAGGCUUGGAAACAUUGGAGAGACAAUGUGCCUUGGGAAAUCUUGGACCCGGUAUUGGGAAAAUCUUAUUCCAGAAGCCAAGUGCUAAGAUGCAUACACAUUGGCUUUCUAUGUGUUCAGGAAGAUCCGGCUGAUAGACCCACCAUGGCAAGCAUAGUUCUUAUGCUGAGCAGCCAAACUCUUAGUCUGCCAGUGCCACGGGAACCUGCCUUUUUCCUCCGAAGCUGGACGGAACCACCAAAGAACAUCAUAGCAAAUGACCAAGGACAUGAUCAAAAUACUAGCGGCUCCACACCUUUGUCGGUCAAUGGAGUGUCGAUCACUGAACUCUCCGCUCGAUGAAGCACAUGAACAUCUAUUCAUGACAUGAUUUCAUCUGCUUCUCAAGCUAAUUAUGUGGAUGUUGCGUCCAGAAGUACUAUUUAGUUUUACAUUAACUGUUUGAUGAGUGCGGUUGUAGUCACUAAUAAAUUGGUAGUAAAGCGGCUGUUUCCUUUUCUCUUUGUAUCAUGAACAACUUUUGUCUCUUAGAAAAUUUUUUAAGUCAUGAUAAGAUAUUUAUGCUCUCUUUCUCCAACUCUUUUUCCCUUUUCUUAUUCUCGAGUUCGCACCGGAUUCAUUUCUGGUACAAACUUGGACGUUCAAAUUUGUUGCUUGCAUUUCGCUAAUAAUUAGUGUAUUGGCUGGAGAGAUUUGUGCAUUAAACCAUUUGAGCUUCAUACAUUUCUUCUAGCUAUCCCUUGCCCAAUGUUGCCCGCGGCACGCUGAAGCACCAUCUUUGGCAAUGGGAGAAUUUCUUGAUUACAAAACGCGCUUUUGACUUGAACCAUGCCCUGUGUUGGGAAAAAAAUCAACAACUAAAUUUGAAGAUCUUGUGAUGGCCUUGUGCCUUUAUGGUCCCCACUUACUUCAAUCUCUAUCAUCCACUUUUUCUCUCCAGGCAUUACAGCCAUCCAACCAUGACCUCGAUAGUGAACGACUACGUCUCAUCUUCAACAAAGGAGCUGAAGCAGCCUGCAACCGCCAUGUCUGGACAGCCUCCUUCAUUCCCUCCCCUUUUUCUUCGUCUUCCUACCGUCCUUCUCUGUCUUCACAUCCUAGCAUUCGACCUAUCCAAUGUUGAACACUGCUACGACAUGGGCAACUUCACGGCUGCCAGCAGAUACUUGAAGAACCGCGAACUUGUCAUCUCUUCUCUCCCUUGCUUCAUGGCUUCAAAUGGCGGGUUCUUCACUGGGAAUGUCGGGAACGGGUCGGACGUCAUUUACAUGCUCAGUUUCUGCAGAGGCGACUCUUCAAACCACACUUGCAUGAGGUGCAUAAGCGCUACUGCUGAAGAUUUGAUAAUCAAGUGUCCAAACCAGAAAGCUGCAUACUCAAAGGGGACAUAUAAUCCUCCUAGCUUCAUUCGUUACUCUGAUAGUCCAAUGUACGGCAUGAAGAAAACGUUUCCGACAUUAAAGUUUUAUCGCACUGGCGACAUCCCGAUGGAUUAGGAUCAGUUCAAUUGGAUAUGGAGAAACUUGACGGAGGCACUGGCGGCAAGGGCUUCUAUGGGGACGUUGGACCUCAAAUUUGCAGCAGGGAGCACGGUGUUGCCAAACAACCAGACCAUGUACUCGUCAAUGCAGUGCAGCCCCGAUUUGUCUCAGGGUGAUUGCCCGAGUUGCUUGGGGGAAUGCGUCGAUGAUUAUCAAGGAUGUUGCCAUGGAAGACUAGGCGGGUCUAUUUACAAGCCUAGCUGCAUUUUCCGAUGGGAAUUGUACCCAUUUCUCGAGUCCAAUCCCGGCAAUCUGCUGCCAUCUUUGCGGCCGUCUACUGCUGCUGCCGAGACAUCUCCUGCUCCUCUGCCUGCAAAUGCCCCAGUCACCAGCGGUUGGUCACCAGCGGUUGGUUCAAUUUGACAGUUACUAGUGAUUUAAAAAUCAUGAAUUAUAAUGCUUAUCCAGAGUCCGUGCCUGCUAUGUGGAAAAAAAGCCUUAUCAGAUACCCAUGAACUUGUCAGUUUCCAUGUAGUCCAGCCAAAUGUUUGGAUGUGCAUGCUAUGAAAAGAAUCAUUUGAAUCUGCAAUGUUGGCAAUGAUGAGUUUCAAUGUCAAAUUGGAUUAAACGCGUUGCUUGAUGUUGGCAGGUAAUAUGUCGAGCUCAUUACGCAUCAUCAUUGCUGGAGUAUGUUCGACAGUUCUCUUCACGAUGGUUAUUGUCUCUGCGUGUUGCUUUAUUAGAUGGAGAAGAAGUAAUCCGUGGAAGGUCUCAUCUGGUUAGUGGAUUUAUCGGUUGUUUAGUGUUCUGCAUUUGAGUUGUUAUUGAAUGACUUCUUAGCAAACUUAGCACAAGUGUUGACACCUCAAUUUUUAUUAUGUUUAUUUUGUUAAUUAAGUUUUUAUCUAUUUUGUCUUUUUCGAAAUAAUAAGCAAAUAACAAAAAAAAACCGAAAAAACAAAAGAAACAACAAGAAAAAAACAAAAGAAAGCAAAAGCCCAGCCCCUCCCCUCUUUUUCUUUUCCACGCGGGCCUAAGGCCCAAGCCUUGUCUUUUUGAGUUUUGGCCCGCCCCACCCCCCCCUCUCUUCUUCUUCCUCCCAUCUUCUUCUUCCUUCGUCUUUCUUCCGCCUUUGUCGGUCACGCGCGGCGAUGAAGACGCGCUCGAGCACAACCUACAACUGAGAGGGGAGCGUAGGCCGGUGGCUGAGAGGAUGCAACAUUGAAGGCGAGCAUGCCUCCGUGGAAGGGGGAAGAUUUGACGCCGGUUCGACCGCACCCAGGGCCGGUCGGCGUGCGAGAGCCGACGGCUGAACCUCCGUCGACCGGCCUCCUCCUCGCCUAUAAAUAGAGAAGCACCUUCGUCGACGAGGAGGCACAGCGAACUCCAAGAUCUUCCCCUUGAGAGACUUCAAGGGGGAAAUCAAAGAGCGAGCGAAGGAUCGGGUCGCAAGCUAAACGACCUCCCACCGAGAGACAUCGGGGGAGGCCGGCGGCAAGCGAAGCCAGAUCCACGAGCAGCAGAGGCCGAAAGAGAAGAGGGAGCUCUGGAUCUGCGAGAUAAGGGCUGAGCGAGGAGGAGAGAGGACCAUAUCUGGGCGCGAAAGCUCACUGCCAUCCCCCCGACGUCGUUGCUGUGACCGAGCAUUAGCCCCGACGCCCUACCGAGCCGUGCCCCGACGCCGUCCAGAUCUGAGUAAGUAAAGAGCGAAGGAAGAAGGGGUCGAGACUUGGGCGCGGAUCUGGAAAUCCGCGGGAGAGUCGCCGUCGCCCGCCGAUGUUGCCUCGCCGAGGCAAGUUGUCAAACGCCUCUGUGCUGUCCACCCCCGAUGCCAUCGACACUACCUUCGUUGAACGGUCAGCCGUUGUACCUCAACGCCGUUGAGCAGCUCGUCACCAUCGUCAUCGCCGUCGCUGUCGGCCUGCCUAGCGACGCCUCAUCCACCCUCACCUGCGCCGCGAAGACCCAAGCAGAGAGAGGCGCUUGUCGGGUCUGAACCAGAUUGGGCAAAACCCCCAUCCGGGUAGCGUUUCUCUCUGUUCGGGCCCUCUGGGCCUGGUCGUAUGGGCUGUUUUUAUGCAUAUAUGGGCCUGGGUUAGUUCAUGGGCUUGGAAAAAGGAAAAAGGGAGCUAAAUCUGAGAUGGGCCUGUGUUGCGGGCCCGUCUGCGUUUCGAGCUGGCCCGGGUCGGACCCAACCCGCAGAUCCGACCCGGGUCGGCUUUUCCUUUUUUAAAGUUUUAUUUUAAAUAAUAUUUUAAUAAUUAAUUAAUACAUAAUUUAUUUUCAAAAAAAAUUAAGAAAUGUUUUAAUUUCUAGAAAAUCGAAAAAUAUUUAAAAAAAUGUUGAAAAAUGUUUUAUUUUCUAAAAAAAAUCAAGAAAAAACCAAAAAUAAUUUAUUUUCCAAAAAUAUUAAAAAAUAUUUAAAAAAUAUUUUAUUUUCCGAAAAAUAAAAAAAAAUCAAAAAAAUUUCAUAUUUUCCAAAAAAUGCCAAAAAUCCAAAGAAAAAGCUAGAAAUUCAUGAAAAAGCCAAAAAAAUUUAGAAAAAGCCAAAAAGACUUGUAUUUUUCCAAAAAAAUACCAAAAAUCUCUUUUGUGUCAAAAAAAAAUUAGAAAAUGACUCAAAAAAUGUUUUUCCUCCCAAAAAUGCAUGGAAAAUCCCUCGAACAUCCAAAAAACCUCAGAGUUUAAACAAUAUUAGGUACCGAAAGGGCAUUAGUGAUUAACUAGUGUAAUCAAGUCCCCGAUCCUAAUUUCUCUGGUUGCGCAAGAGUGAGUAUUUCUCCCGGUACUUCACUUGGGUUUCUAAUCAACCCACCCCAAAUUGAUUAGUGGCGACUCCAUUUUAAAAAUCAACUUACAGGUUAAAAACUUGAACCAUUAAGUCGUGAAUUGGUGGACUUGGGAGAGUCCGGGCAUAAUUAAUUUCAGCCGAGCCAUUAGCCUCCUUAGGCGCCCGUACCUGAUUGCGGGCGCCGAAAAAAAGAGGUCGCGACAGCUUGGCGACUCCGCUGGGGACUUUGAAGACUUAGGCCAUUUUUGUCUUGUUUAAAUUCUUUACUGACUUAUUAUUUUAUUUAUUUUUCUUUAUGCAGGUCAAAAGCUUUGAAAUUUAUUUUAAUUUUUGCUUAAAAUAGAUUAUCUUGUGAUUAUAAACUGUUGUGCAUGCUUUACUGUUUUAAACACUACACAUGGCACACACAACCCGGCCGCCGGACCUGGGCCGCCAUAGGAUUUCUAGGAUGGUGUUAGGAAAGAUACGACCUCGAACGCGAGACUGCGAUGGGCGGAUACCUUUUUAAUUUCAUCAAGCCUUCUGAGUUAGAAAUCGAGCCGCACAUCCCAUGCGCAUAUCUUUGUGCUUGCCAUUUUUCUUUAAAACCAAAGUGAUUUCUUUACUUUUACUCAGUCUUUUUAUUUGGCCCAUGUCAAUGUAGGAUAAACUUUUCAAGUCCCAGUUUAUAUGUGAUGGGGAAAGACGAUAUCCAGUUCAUUCCUGCUCCCAAGGCGGAGCUCUUCAGAUGGUGGGGUCAAUUAGAUCAGUUUGGCCAGGAGCGCGUGAAGGCCAAAAUUGGUCAUCUCCUAUCGUUGAUCCAAAUCACUGUUCGUCCUGAAGUCAUACAAGCCAUGGCACAUUUUUGGUGCCCGAAGACAAUUACUUUUAUAUUCGGUAGGUUUGAGCUAACCCCAACCCUGGAAGAAUACAGCAUCAUUACUGGAAUGCCUCUUGAGAAAAAGUUUGUCAAGCCAUCGAUAGGCGCCCUCCCAUGGCGCGGGUUAGCACAACUUUUAGGAACUGAAAUCCAUGUCAUGAGACAAAUUCUUGAAGACAACCAUAAUAUCUGCCCACUAGAAUUUAUGAAUGCUUGUUUCCAAAAUCAGCAUAUGACCCAGAAAAGUGAGAUUUUCCUCCUAGCCUUUUUCGGGCUCAUUAUCUUCCCCCAUCAAAGAAAUGCCAUAACUCCCAAGAUGGCGUGGAUAGUUGAUCAGAUCUUAAGAGGGGGGAAUUAGCUCAACAUGAUUUUAACUGAAACAUUCUUGUCUUUUAAUCGUUUUAAAGACAAUUCGGAGAAAAUCAUGCGAGCCUCUCUUGAAAUUUUACAAGUAUGGUUCUUUUCUCACCUAAGCGAAUUUCGAGACUUCAUGCGAUCGCCUGAAACAAAUGCUUUUGAAAAUCCAUUACAAAAAUUUAUGGUUUUAGGACCGUACAUUCCCAAUCAAAGCUGUUUAAAUUGGGUAAGUUUCCUAAGAAACCCAGCUCCUGAGGCAUUCCAAUGGUGUGCUGGUUGGUUCCAUGAAAAGAGGGCCCGUUUUGCUUACAUGCGCACCCGCCCAAUUUCGUUGCUCGAUCUCACCGGUGCCAUUCCCUACUACCCAUAUCGGGUAGCACGACAAUAUGGAGCCCUUCAGGAGAUCCCACCGCCUUUCAAGAUGAUGGUCCCUCCAGUUCUUUUCAACACAAGCCGUGACUAUAAAUUCGAAAUUUCUACCGCUGAGGAAACCUAGGACAAGUGCCACCGCAGAAGGAUUGUGAUACCUGAAGGGCUUGAGGGAGAAGAAAAAGUCCACCACGCCUCCAUGUCUUACAUCCACAACCAUCGUAUCCCGACAAGAUGGAAGCCAUUAGUCCCUCACUCAAUCAGCGAGAGCAGUCAACAUGAGCAAGCAGAGCUCAUGGAGACAGAUUUUGGGAAUGGACUGGGUGCACACCUCAGAACCAGUUCAAGGAAGUAGGCGUCCUCGCAAGAACAAGGCUCCCCGUCGCAUAUAAAUUAGCAAUCAUGUGCCCCUUAAUGUAAAUAGUGUGAAAGUUUUGUCCCAUUGUUUAUGGACUUUUGUUUAAUAUCUAGUAUUUCAUCCUGUCUUUUCAAUUUCAAGUUCUAGAUGUUAGGAGUUGGCAGUCUAUAAAUCCUCUUUUGAUAAAUAAAAAAAGCAGUUAGACCAUUGCCAUGGGUCAAUCUUUGUUUACUUUCGUGCUCAUUCAUUAUUUUCACAACGAACAGGUAAUUAUGAAUCGCCGGCCACCAAUCGCCCGUGAUUGGCCUCAUGCAAUAGGACCCGAUCAGAAUGAAGUACAAAAUUGUCUCAUUAACAUUGAAGAUGGCGUAGGACAGAUGUCCAUUGUCCUUCAAGAACUCUCGAGACAAAUGAAAUCCACUCAAGCUGAGCCCAACUCUAUAGUUGCCUUAAACACCGUCAUGACACCCGCAAAUUUGCCAGAAAAUAGCCAGUACUAUGGAUAGUUCGAAAGGAUCAUGAAAAAGUUAAACCAGCUGCAGGGGCGGAAUCCCAUGGACCUUUCCAAUUAUGCCGACAUUGAAAUCCCUGAAAAGCUCAAAGCACCUGAAUGCGAAAGGUAUGCUGAUACCUCCCGCCUAGAGACCUACUUGCAGGCCUACCUGGUUCAAAGGAUGAUUCAAUCGUACCAAUCGAACUUGACUGGCCCUGCCUUGUGAUAGUACAUUGUUAGGAAAAUUAGUCCCCUUAAAACCUUGAGGGAACUAAUUCAUAUUUUUCACCAAGAGUACAAUAUUGACAUCACCCCUGACAUCACCUUACCUUACGAAGAGCCGAUGAUCGCAGAGCACGAGGAGUUAUUAGUCGCUGAGAUAGGAGAAGAGCAUGUCAAUGAAACCUUACAUGAUAAAUGGGCAGCUGAACAGCAUCUUGUUACUGGAAAAUUUCCCACUAGGAAAGGCAAGGAGCCUUUGUAUGAGAUCAAGGACACAGAGCCUGUUCAAGACCGGGGCACGACUGGACAAUUACCCAAGCUUACUCCAAGAGCUAGGGUCCAAAGAAUACCAACCCCUAUCAACCUAGAAAGUGAAUCAGAGAGUGAAACUUUAAUAUCUCUCACUUCUUUGGAUAGGAUCGAGCUGGCAAAACGAAGGGCCUUACUCAAAAGGUCUGGACCGGGAGGCAAGAAAAGAAAGCCUAAGCAGAUCAAUGCAGCAUCUGCCAACGAGCCACCGCACCAAAGCUUUGAACAUUCCCAAGAAUACAACUUUGAAGGCCACCAUCCUCUAGAAUACAAUCCUGAAGACUUCCCGGCCCUAGAAUACAAUCCCAAGGACUUCCAGCGUUAUUUCAACAAUGAAACUGACAAUUCAUCGUAUAACUGUUUCCUACUCUCAUCUGGAGAUGAAGGCCAGUCAGAAGAAGAAGCAUACGUCUUUAUCCGCUAUGAUCCUAACGAAGUACUAAGCUUGUCCUCUGACCAUGAAGAUAGCUUCAAUACUUUAUCCUCAUUCGGAAAUUUUAACUAAGAAGAAAGUAAUGAGAUAAUCUCGGUAGAAUCCAACUUCCCUGAAGCAGAAAAAUUCACCACUACAACAGAUAUGCAGUGGGAAAAUCAAUGGCCUAACCAAGAUACAUUAAGCCCGUCUUACGCUCAUAGGAUCACGACCCCUGGAGAGAUGUGGAUACCUGAUUUCCGUAAGUAUAAUGGCACAACUUGUCUCGUGGCUCAUUUGCAAUAUCUCCAUACGGAAAUAAGUUGGUACUAUGGCCCGAUGUCGUUCACAACUCAAGGCAUUCCAAGAAACUCUUACGAGGUCUGCAUUGCAAUGGUUCAUCACAGUAGACAUUUAUCUCCUAAAGGAUUGGAAUGAGCUGACUUCCACAUUCUUGCAUCAGUACCAAAGCCGGAUCGGAACUGAAUUGCCUUGUGAGAGUUUGGCUCACUUCACAAGAAGACCAAUGGAGGAUUUCCAAGCAUACGCAGGGAGGUGGAGAGCUUUCAUGAUGCAAACCCGCCCUCAAUUGGCUGAAGAGGAGUUAAUGAAGCAGUUCAUAGAAGUUUUGUCCUACAAGCAUCGUUGUUGGCUGCAUGGGUUACACUUCCGUAACUUCAACGAGGUAGUCAUCGCAUGCGAAUACUUCGAGUCUACUGAAGGCGAGGAAUUCAAAGAUGCUUAGCUUCAAGGCCAGCAUUAUCAAAGCACUCCUUUGCAUAGGAGUUUUCAUGGGUUUUACUCGUUUUUAUAAUUUCAUGUUUCUUAUCUUGUCUGGUGUGCUACUGUUGUAUUUUCUAUUCCAAGUACUCUAUUGUACAGUUAUAAUGUUUUGUUUUAAGAGCAUGAGGCGGUACUCCAAACUAGCCUAGUGAUGUUAUCCAACCAUGAAAAGAAAAUAUCAUCCAAGGAGAAUACUGAGGGCUGGGCUUCCUCAUGCUUUUUCUCCCCCAAAGACGUAUUUUGAAAAUAAAAAAUAUUUCAUCACCCAAAAGCUUUUGUUAAAACAAGAUGAUAAAUUUAACCAUGUUUGUCUUUCAGACUCAUUCACUUCAUGUCUUAGAAGAUCAUUCCCGUCCCUUUUGACUUAGUGUGACAUAAGGCAUUUGAAGCAAGCGCAUCAGACGAACUUGCCAAAUUCAAAGACACCCUGCCAAGAAAACAGGGGCAAAUAGAAAGAAUCAUCCUACACCAAAAGAGGGUAAGUCUUAUUCUCUGAAUAUAAUUUGGAAAUGAUGUCCUCUCUCUUCUAUUUACAGGAUACAAAAGAUGAAACGUAAUAGGUACAGGCAUAGAGUUGAGAUCAAAGCAUCCAUGACAUGCCUCACUCCUGCCCAGCUCCAUCCUAAGCCAAAUGACUAUCUUGUCGCACGACGCGCCCAAACAGCUAGAUGUUACAGUAUCAACUUCAGCAUAAGGAAGGAGUUCCUCCUCUUCCUUUUAAGUGAUUACUGUCAACAGGGAGAAAAUCUAGACAGUCAAGGCGAUCUAUAGCCCCACACCCUGGACAAUGACUUUGGAAUUUAAAAGCUUCACUCCAUACGCAUAUUCUCGCAAGAAGUAAUUGCCAUGAGAGAAUUGGAGGUUUUGAUUGUCCAUCUCAGAUUCCAUAGAAGCUUGAAGUACAUGACUUUACUCAAUGCUGCUAAUGGUCAUAUAGUCAAAGACAGAAGGAGAAAUUCCACAGAAGGAAGGCGUUGAAGAUCAAUCAACGACCAACAAUCAUGCAUAAAUGGUCAUAAAUGAGGGAGGCCAAUUGAAGGAAACAUCGCACUAUGCUAAGAUAAAGAAGCCAUCAUCGACAUUCAAAUAUCUUUAGGAGCUAGCAUAGACAAACUCUGGGGAAGGGUAAUUCGGUAUCGUUUCCAAUACUCCCACUAUCUGAACCCGCUUUUGACAUAUUUUCCCUAUUUGACAGGGAGCAUCACAACUCAAGAACCAAACUCAAUGAUUAGAUUUGACAAAUCAAUACUGGCCAAGCUAGUAUACAGAAAUGGCUUGCAUCGAAUUCACUUGACUUCGUGUAAAGGGACAUGCCAUCCAUAAGCCAAUUAAGGAGAAUAAUUGACCUGAUGAAGGGGAAGACACCAGACUUCAUGUCCUCCUUGUACUUCAGGUUCACCCAAUCAUCUACAAACCAGUGAAGGGUAAAGUUGUAUCGAUUCCAGUUAUUUGACUCUUGAAAGAAUUCAUGACUAACACAUUCCCUCUUGUUCGUGGCAGGAUCACUUGACUGUCAAAAGCAAAGAUAACAAAUCAAUGAGAGGCAUGACAGACUCUCCUAAGCAAAAUGGCGUCCCAAGUAUCGCCAAAGCAAAUGAUAGAAAAUCCUCAGGCCUCAACUCACAUUUGAUUUUGGCCGGACUAAUUGAUCUACUUGUACAUCUUCUCUUCUACAGGGGCCAAAAAAGGCCCAUCAAAUCAAUGAUUAGAUUCCAAAUCCUUGGCUGAUCUUUCAUGUGUCAUAUCCCUAAUCAAUAGGGAUAACUAUCGACACCCAUUUGCGAAUAACCCUUUUGAUGUUCAAAAUCUAACAUAUUUGGAAACACCAUUAUGUUAGCCCCUAAAGUUGUCAAUAGGGUCUUUUUUGAGUCAAAACCAUUCAUUUGUUUUGAGAAUACAAACUCCAUCACAUUUAAAAUGCUGCAUGUCUUUUCCAGGUGAAUUCUGCAUGAUGAUUUUGUCUGUCUAAAUCACUGAUUCCAUUGAGAAUUAUUAGAAUAGACAGCUAAUUGAAGAAUACAAGAUUAAUUGAGCAUGCUGGAUGAGGCGAGUCAGAAUGAUGAAAGGCAAGCCAUAUCCUACACACAGUCCCCCAUCUAUACACUUGUGAGAUGAGUGCAGAAAAUUCCAUGGCCGCAGGGUAAAGAGUUCUCUCGUUAAUAGUACGAUGAUCAAAGCAGUGAGAGGCACUCCAUCGCUCACUUUGAGCCCUAUACACUGACAAAUUUCUACUAUACUCUUGACAAAGAACCACCCCACACUGGGGCAAGUCAAAAGCAAAUCAACAUCACAAGGUGAGAAAGGGGAUAGAAAUUUUCUUGCUCGCACUUACAUCAAUCUUUGAGUGUCUUUAUUACAUAUGAACACUCGCGUUAAUUUAAGUGCCCUAGAGUCAUGAAGAGCAAUUAUUUAUUUACGCACUUGUAUCCAUUGUACAACUCAAUUGAGUCUGUAAAUCCACCCUCACAUUGAGGCAAAGUAGAAGCCACUGUCAUUUGAGCAACAUAAUCGGAAGUGCCAACAAAAGAUGAAGACUCCAUAGUCUAACAAAGGCAUUUGCUUGAACUUGUCAAGACCAGUUCCUCGAGCAACAAGAAAAAACAUGGGCAUAAAAAGCAGUGUACCUGGUAAAAGCAAGGUCAAUGCCCAUGAACGAAAAAUUGAAGAGAGGAGUAGGGGCAUGAAAAAGCAGUGUGCUUGGUAAAAGCAACGCCGAUGCCCCAAAAAAAAAAACACAGUCAUUUGUAUUCCCAAGAGAAAUCGUUGUUGUGGUCCAUAGAACCUUCAUCGGACCAUGAGAAGAAAGACCGGUGACAAAUGCCAAGGCAAUCACCAGCUCUCACUCUUUUACACAUGAGCCAAAUCUACGUUGCAUCCCAUUGUAAAAGUCUCUUCAGACUAGUGGCACUUCAAUUAACGUAAGAUUUCAUAUGUCUAUAAACCUCGCUCGAAGAAGUACGGGCAAGAUUACUCUAUCUCUUUUCAUAGGAUUCUUGACUUGCAAACCCGGAGACGAUCGUGCGACACUCUGUUCAUAAGCCUUGACCUUGAUGGUCCCCUUUGAUGAGCUGCUAACCAAGACUUCAUUACAGUUUCAACAAAGACCUCUCACAUUGGUAAAGUCGUACUGUUUGCGAGAAUACUCAGACCCCUGUUGACAUGAUGACAGUGAGAUAGUGUGGUCCUUAUAAAUCCUGCAUCAAUGGUCAGGAUAGCCUUUUCCAUGAGAGUGAGUGAAAAGUCCUUUCAGACUGAAAGUCCCUCAUUUGGCAUGCUCAAGACAUCUACAUUCUAAAUGAAUGUUGUCUUUCAAAAUCUUCCCCAAUGGAAAUCAAAAGAUGCAAAACCGACAAAAUUAUCAUGCAUGAAUCUCAUUUGAGCUCAUAGCGUAUACAAUCAUGUGUGCAUAUUGUGCAAAUAGCAUACUCUCUUCUUGACACUCGACCUAUUCAAGUCGUCCCUUCAGUUUGGGUGCCUGCUGUUGUCUAGGUAUCCCUCUUGUCUUUGAGUACCGACCACUGUUCGGAUACUCCCUUUUCCUGACACUCGACCUGUUCGAGUUGUCCCCAGAGUAUUGAUACUUGUGACUGACCAAGUAUCUGUUUAUCAUUGAAUACCUGUUGUUGUCUAGGUAUCCCUCUUGUCUUUGAGUACCGGCCACUGUUCGGAUACUCCCUUUUCCUGACACUCGACCUGUUCGAGUUGUCCCCAGAGUAUUGAUACUUGUGACUGACCAAGUAUCUGUUUAUCAUUGAAUACCUGUCGCUGUCUAGGUAUCCCUCUUGUCUUUGAGUACCGGCCACUGUUCGGAUACUCCCUUUUCCUGACACUCGACCUGUUCGAGUUGUCCCCAGAAUAUUGAUUCUUGUGAUUGACCAAGUAUCUAUUUAUCAUUGAAUACCUGUUGCUGUCUAGGUAUCCCUCUUGUCUUUGAGUACCGGCCACUGUUUGGAUACUCCCUUUUCCUGACACUCGACCUGUUCGAGUUGUCCCCAGAGUAUUGAUACUUGUGACUGACCAAGUAUCUGUUUAUCAUUGAAUACCUGUUGCUGUCUAGGUAUCCCUCUUGUCUUUGAGUACCGGCCACUGUUCGGAUACUCCCUUUUCUUAACACUCGACCUGUUCGAGUUGUCCCCAGAGUAUUGAUGCUUGUGAUUGACCAAAUAUCCAUUUAUUAUUGAAUACCUUAGGUAUCCCCAUAUCGUCAAGUACCCAUCAUUGUCCAAGUACUUCCUUUUCAUGACACUCAACCUGCCCGAGUUGUCCCAAAAUAAUAUAGCAGCUGUUCAAGCAUUCCAUUGCUUUUCUUGGCACCACCGUCCAGGUAUGUUUUCUAGCACUUGGGCCAGCCUGAGUGGUCCCAGAUCAUAUCACUAAAUACUUGUGUUCAUCCAAGUAUUCCAGUGCUUUGUACACCUGUGGCUAUCCAGGUGUCCCACCUCUUUAAGUGCCUGCAUCAAUCCAAGUAAGCCUCAUACCACAGUCAAGUUUAUAAUACUAGGAGGUGAGAGACCUUCAUGAAUAUCCCAGGUACGUCCUCGAUAUUCCCAAUUACCAGGAGGUGAGAGACCUUCGCGAAUAUGCGGGGCACGCCCUCGAUAUUCCCAUUACCAGGAGGUGAGAAACCUUCACAAAUAUGCGGGGCACGCCCUCGAUAUUCCCAAUUACCAGGAGGUGAGAGACUUUCAUGAAUAUCCCAGGUACGUCCUCGAUAUUCCCAAUUACCGGGAGGUGAGAGACCUUCGCGAAUAUGCCAGGUACGUCCUCGAUAUUCCCAAUUACCAGGAGGUGAGAGACCUUCAUGAAUAUACGAGGUACGUCCUCGAUAUUCCUUAAUUGCCAGGAGGUGGGAGACCUUCACGAAUAUGCGAGGUACGUCCUCGAUAUUCCCAAUUAUCAAAAGGACCUUCAUGAAUGUCUAGGUAUCUUCCAAAAUUGAUGCCCUGAGAAAGGUUGGCGCAUCCUCCCGAGAAAGGUUGGGUUCCAACUAGUGUCUUCGACAGAAGUCAGAGGCCCCACAAAUCGAUGCCCAGAGAAAGGUCGGUGCAUCCUCCUGAGAAAGGUCGGGUUCCAACCAGUGUCUUUGACAGAAGUCAGACACCCCAACAAAACAAAUGCUUUGAGAAAGGUCGGCGCAUCUCCCGAGAAAGGUCGGGUACCAACUGGUGUCCUCGAUACAAAUCAGGCACCCACAAAUGAGAUGCCCUGAGAAAGGUUGGUGCAUCUCCCGUCACGGCAACCGAAGAAUGGUUCGGGUCCGAGACAAACCACUUAUUGCUCUAACAAGCGACCGAAGAAUGGUUCGGGUCUUGGAGGAGUAAUCCCCAGUCAAGGCGACCGAAGAAAGGUUCGGGUCCUAGACAAAUAAUUAAUUGUUUUAACAGGCGACCAAAGAAUGGUUCGGGUCUAACUACAGGUAUCUUCUUAUCUGUCUUAGCAUAUGUAAAGUUAUAUUACUCUUUUUCCGCAUACAAUGAUAGGUCCCAAAUAAAAUAUAAUCUGCUACGCAUGCAUAAAAUUUAGGCAUCAGUCUGUCUUUGAAUGCAACCUCUGCGAGCUCACCUUCAAAGAGGGGCAGCUGUUGACACCUCAAUUUUUAUUAUGUUAAUUUUAUUAAUUAAGUUUUUAUCUAUUUUGUCUUUUUCGAAAUAAUAAGCAAAUAACAAAAAAAACCGAAAAAAACAAAAGAAACAACAAGAAAAAAACAAAAGAAAGCAAAAGCCCAGCCCCUCCCCUCUUUUUCUUUUCCACGCGGGCCUAAGGCCCAAGCCUUGUCUUUUUGAGUUUUGGCCCGCCCCCCCCCCCUCUCUUCUUCUUCCUCCCAUCUUCUUCUUCCUUCGUCUUUCUUUCGCCUCUGCAGGUCACGCGCGACGACCAAGACGCGCUCGAGCACAACCUACAACUGAGAGGGGAGCGUAGGCCGGUGGCUGAGAGGACGCAACAUUGAAGGCGAGCAUGCCUCCGUGGAAGGGGGAAGAUUUGAAGCCGGUUCAGCCGCACCUAGGGCCGGUCAGCGUGCGAGAGCCAACGGCUGAACCUCCGUCGACCGGCCUCCUCCUCGCCUAUAAAUAGAGGAGCACCUUCAUCGACGAGGAGGCACAGCGAACUCCAAGAUCUUCCCCUUGAGAGACUUCAAGGGGGAAAUCAAAGAGCGAGCGAAGGAUCGGGUCGCAAGCUAAACGACCUCCCACCGAGAGACAUCGGGGGAGGCUGGCGGCAAGCGAAGCCAGAUCCACGAGCAGCAGAGGCCGAAAGAGAAGAGGGAGCUCUGGAUCUGCGAGAUAAAGGGCUGAGCGAGGAGGAGAGAGGACUAGAUCUGGGCCCAAAAGCUCACUGCCGUCCCCCCGACGUCGUUGCUGUGACCGAGCAUUAGCCUCGACGCCCUACCGAGCCGUGCCCCGACGCCAUCCAGAUCUGAGUAAGUAAAUAGCGAAUGAAGAAGGGGUCGAGACUUGGGCGCGGAUCUGGAAAUCCGCGGGAGAGUCGCCGUCGCCCGUCGCUGUUGCCUCACCGAGGUAAGUUAUCAAACGCCUCUGUGCUGUCCACCCCCAAUGCCAUCGACGCUACCUUCGUUGAACGGUUAGCCGCUGUACCCCGACGCCGUUGAGCAGCUCGUCACCAUCGUCAUCGCCGUCGCCGUCGGCCUGCCUAGCAACGCCUCAGCCACCCUCACCAGCGCUGCGAAGACCCAAGCAGAGAGAGGCGCUUGUCGGGUCUGAACCGGAUUGGGCAAAACCCCCAUCCGGGUAGCGUUUCUCUCUGUUCGGGCCCUCUGGGCUUGGUCGUAUGGGCUAUUUUUAUGCAUAUAUGGGCCUGGGUUAGUUCAUGGGCUUGGAAAAAGGAAAAAGGGAGAUAAAUCUGAGUUGGGCCUGCGUUGCGGGCCCGUCUGCGUUUCGGGCUGGCCCGGGUCGGACCCAACCCGCAGAUUCGACCCGGGUCGGUUUUUCCUUUUUUAAAGUUUUAUUUUAAAUAAUAUUUUAAUAAAUAAUUAAUAAAUAAUUUAUUUUCAAAAAAAUAUUAAGAAAUGUUUUAAUUUCCAGAAAAUCGAAAAAUAUUUAAAAAAAUGUUGAAAAAUGUUUUAUUUUCUAAAAAAAAUCAAGAAAAAACCAAAAAUAAUUUAUUUUCCAAAAAUAUUAAAAAAUGUUUAAAAAAUAUUUUAUUUUCCGAAAAAUAAAAAAAAUCAAAAAAAUUUCAUAUUUUCCAAAACACGCCAAAAAUCCAAAAAAAAAAAAGCCAGAAAUUCAUGAAAAAGCCAAAAAAAAUUCAGAAAAAGCCAAAAAGACUUGUAUUUUUCCAAAAAAAUACGAAAAAUCCCUUUUGUGUCCAAAAAAUUAGAAAAUGACUCAAAAAAUGUUUUUCCUUCCCAAAAAUGCAUGGAAAAUCCCUCGAACAUCCAAAAAACCUCUGGGUUUAAACAAGAUUAGGUACCGAAAGGGCAUUAAUGAUUAACUAAUGUAAUCAAGUCCCCGAUCCUAAUUUCUCUGGUUGCGCAUGAGUGAGUAUUUCUCCCAGUACUUCACUUGGGUUUCUAAUCAACCCACCCCAAAUUGAUUAGUGGCGACUCCAUUUUAAAAAUCAACUUACAGGUUAAAAACUCGAACCAUUAAGUCGUGAAUUGGUGGACUUGGGAGAGUCCGGGCAUAAUUAAUUUCAGCCGAGCCAUUAGCCUCCUUAGGCGCUCGUACCCGAUUGCGGGCGCUGAAAAAAAGAGGUCGCGACAACAAGGAUUAAAUAGCGUGGGAGGGACGAUGAUGCAAUUUUGGUUUACAUUCCAUUUUUGGUUUACAUUCCCUCACUGAGAGAUGGCGCCGAACUAAAACCAAUCCUAAAAUUUUGUUAAAAUGAUUGAGAAAUCCCAAAUGGCAUGUUAAGAACAAGAAUAAUCUAACCCUUUUUUUUUUUUUUCUGAUUGGAUUAUUGAGAUCUGACGUUGAUUGCUCUGCAUUUUCUUCAGCAAAAGACGGCUGAAACCACCAAAACCUCACAGUACAAAAUAAGCGAGAUCAGGACUGCUACAAAUUUAUUUUCAGAAGCCAAUAAGCUUGGAGAGGAGGCAUUCAGAAAAGUGUAUCAAGUGGCUGGAAAAUUUAUUCAAUGAUUGUCUGGGAAUUACAUCAUCACAUGGAGAUAAAUGUUGUUUCUUUUGAAUGAAAACUUGACUGUAGGGCAAGCUUGAAAAUGGACAAUUCAUUGCUGUCAAGAGGCUUCGAGGGUGUUCUAAACCUAAACCCUUUGUAAUUGCACCAAUUUAGUUCAUCCAUCCAAAUUUGUCCAACUAGUGCUGACGUGGAUGUUUGCUGGCAUUAGGCGUCGGCAAACAUUGCAGUGGCAAUUUUUAAUAAUAUUCUACGUUUUUUUGAAUUUUUUAUUUUCCCUUUUACCUUUCUUUUUUCUCUUCUUCUUCUUUGGCUUCUUCUCCCUAGCAGUGGCAAUUGAGGUUCUGGUGGGGCUUGCCAGCCACUAGGUGAGGGCCAUUCAUAAAUUGCCACUUUAGCAUUCGUCGGACAAACGGUGUCGAGUGGCGUCCACGUCAGCAUCAGCUAGUCAAAUUUGAUCGGAUGGACUGAAUUGAUAUAAUUGUAAAAGGUUUAGAACUAAGUUGGCAAAAAAAAAAGUUUAUGACUAAAUUGAUACAAUUGCAAUAGGUUUAGGACUUUUUUUUAUUAUUCUCCCAUUGGAAAGUAAUGGUAUUUAACUAAAUAAUUUUUUAAAGGUCAUGGACUCAAGUAAUCAAUUGAAAGUAUAGCUUAUGAUUAUUAUAUAAAAAAUAAAAUAAAAAUUCGGUUUUGAAAAUCUUUCUUGUUGAAAAUAUAUCAUCAUUUCAAAAUUCAAAAAAAAAUUCAGUUUUUAUUUGAUUUUGGAGCCUUUUUAUUGUUGAGUGGUUAAGUGAAUAUGUGCAAAUAUAAUGGGAAAUCUUCAACAAGUUUGAGUUUUUUUUUUUUUUUUCAAUAAAAAUGAAAUGCGAGGCUUCGGAACCGUGUGGGGGCUUCUUCAUUCGGUUUUCGAAAAGUUCACAAAAGAAAACAGAGUUUUGGUAAGGAGAAAAGUCAAAAGAAAAAAGGUAGAGAGAAGAGAAGAUACAGAGAGAGAUGACGUGAGGCAAAGCAGAAAAGUGAGAGUGAGGGAGACGUGUGAGGGUUUGGCAGAGAGAGAUAGAGACAGGUGAGAGAGAGAGAGAGAGAGAGAGAGAGAGAGAGAGAGAGAGAGAGAGAGAGAGAGAGAAAUAAAUAAAAAGAAAAGAAGAACACUGUUCUUCUUCCCCGGUGCCCGCUGCCAUCUGCCUGUGCUCCGUCCCCUGCCCGCCGUCUCGCCACACUGACAACACCGGAGCCUGACGCCGUACCUCAUUGACCUUCGUGUCCCCGGUGCCAUUGCUCUCCAUCCACGACGUUUGCUCUUGCUGUCGGUCCGCUGCUUCCCCCCAGCCGAAGCUCUACCGAAGCUCUGCCGAAACCAGACCCGAGCCAGAUCUGUCCAACGCCUGCACCGCGCCGGCUCCGAGCUUCCCUGACGACCGCUGCUGCUGCUCCCGCACUGCUGUCUCUCAACCCGUAGCACAGAAGCCCCGACGCCCUUUGUUCCGCCUUUGUCGUCGCUGAUCUGCAGCACCAGAAGCUUCGACACCCCUGCUCCGCCUCACUGUGCGAUGCCCCCGACCGACGCUUGUUUUCUCACACCGAUGCCGCCACGCCAGCAACCCGUGAAGCCACCUACUGCUCGAAGCGAUCCCUUGUUUUGUUGCAGGUCUACCUUCACUGGACCUCGCCUGAUCUCGCCGAAGUUUCGACGCCAGCCGUCUCCUUCAUCCAAGCCGGCCCUCUAUCGACACAGUUGUCCUCACCUAGGUAGUUUAUUUUUCAUUUUUUUUAUUUUAUUGUCAUUUAUUUAUUCCUUUUAAAUUUUGUUAUUAUUGUUUAAGUUAGAAUAUGAUUUGUCAAUGUUAAUAUUUAUGCAUUUUGUAGGCAUUAUCCGAUAGGAUUUUGUCUGGAAUUAAUGUAAUUAUUAAUUUAAUAUGAGAGACAUCGGGUUAUUUUUUUAAUUAUAUUAAUUUUUGAACUUUUGGUAGAAUUUUAAUUAUUAAAUCAUUAUAAUUAUUAAUUUGAUCCGUAAGAUUUUAGAUCAGAGUUUUAACUAUUUUGAUCUCUUUGUUGUGAUAAUUAGGAUAAUGAUAAUUGUUAAUUUGACCUGUGAGACAACAUGUUAUUUUUUCGAUUAUUUUAAUCAUUUAUUUUUUUGAUGACUUAGAUUUAAUAUUUAUUUAAUAAUUACUUAUCUUUAUAAAAAAACUAAAAAAUCAAAAAAUCAAAAUUCUGUAUGAGCAUAUAGGUUUAGUAAAUCGGACAAGUAGGUUUAGUAAAUUAGAAUUUUCUUAGGAUUACAUUUUUAGGGUUGCAUUUUUAGAAAUAAGUUAGGGUUGGACCUAAAUUAAUUUUUUAGAUAAUGUUCGCACAUUUUAAUAAUUUUUACAUUUUUCAAAAAAUAAUUUCUAAGAAAGGAUAGGGUUUAAGUCAAAUUAAUCCCUAAAAUAAAUUAGAAAAUUAUCCUUUUUUAGAUAAUUUAAUUAGGGUUUUUAUUACUUCUGAAUUUCAAUAAAAAAAUACAAAAAUACUAAGUGCAUGUUAACUAGUUCACAUAAUAGGAUCAUUUAAUUAGAAUUUGUUCAUUAGUGAAGUUAGGUCAUGAGGUGCAUAAUAACUAGUUUGCAUAAUAGGCCCAUUUAAUUAGAAUGUGCAUAUUAAUAAGAUUAAGUCAUUUAAUUAAAAAAUGCAUUUUUAUAAAAGAAUUCUAAUUUUCAAGAAAAUCCAACAAAUAAUUGUUUGCUUUGUAUGUUUAGUUCUUUUGAUGCAAUUUAUUUUAUUGAAUGUUUAAUAAUGAUUGAGUACCUGUGUGAUUACCCAUUUGCAUGAUAGAAAUUUAAGUUAAAAUAAAUCUAAGCUGCCUGCAAAAUAUUUUUGAAAAUUAAAAAGAAAUGAUACUGAAAUGGCAUUAGAUGAAAUCUAGUGUAACAAAGUCCCUGGACCUAUUAAAUCUCUAGUUCACAAAAGUAAAAUAUUCUCACAUAUAAUUGCAUGUUUAAAUGGAUUAAUUUCUUAAUAUCAAGUCGUGAUUAGUAGUACUUAGGAGAGUCCGUACCAAGUUUUCGGACUUAGUAAUCCAUUAGCCCUUUUGAGUAAUUCAUCUUCGAGAAAGUCGCGACAAUAAUGCACAUGCUAAACUAUAAAUCUUUUUUAAAAUAAUAUAUGCCCAAACUUGUACUCUCGUAGAUUUUGAGCACUUGCCCGUAAAACUCUAUGGAAAUUAAAAGAAAAAAAAAUGAUAUUAUGGCUACCGUGAUGGAUCAAAUGUACAGUAAACUUAUUUUAAUAUUGAAUUUUAUUAGUUGAUGUUACUAUUGAAUGUUGAUUUUGACCAAAAUCCAUGCUUCACUUUUGGAACACCGCUUUCAUUCGUUCAAGCACGAGCUUUCAACAUCAAGACGAUUACCACACGAGAAAGGAAAGGCUAUUAGACUGCACGUGAAAAUGAGGUAAAAAUUCAGCAUAUAAGAUGUUGAACAAGGCAUGCAAGUAGAUGGAUAUAUAAACACUGUACAUCACUCGGAGUAUAAAUGUCAUCCCUCGCAACCUACACAAUAAGAUUGGAGGGUUAUCGAAAUCCUUAGGGACUUCUUGCAGGAUAUUAACGAUGUGACAGAUGCUUUAUGUUCAGCGAUUUUAUCAAGCAACUGCCCAUUUUCUUUUCGCACAUGAUGUCAAUUGAAUUAGCAAACAGGAGGGUGAUAUCUUUUUCAAUGAAGUAGCAAACAGGCAAAAUCCAUUAAAUGGUAUGAGAACUUUCCACAUGUUUUUUGUGCCCAUUGUUUGGCAUUCGAGAUUUAAGUUGGAGGAAUUCGAAACACUAAUUGGUCCAUACUACGAAAAUAUGGGGCUAGGCAAUGACGUCCAAGUGAAGUAGCUAGUGGAGACGACGAGGAAUUGGCUCCUAAAUGUGUGUGAUACAUAUGCCUAUCAAUUUGAUACGAUGAACUCCACCCCAUGGCUCGAGAUAGCGCCGGCUUUAAGCAUUGCGUAGAAGUCUUAUGGCUAUUGCUUUGUAAAAAGAAGAACAAGCCAUUGGCUUUCGCUAGCUCUUCGUCUCAUCGUCAUUUACAAAUGAGGUCAAGAUGUACUUCACAACGACCUACUCCAAGUACAUUGAAAGAGUUGGAGAAGACAACAUUGAUAUUCUGAAGUGGUGGCAGAGCGAAGCUCCAUGUUUCUCGAUUCUUCUCACCGUGACUCAUGACUUGCUAACCUCACGGGGCAUGAUACCAUAGUUCAUGUUCAGUGCUAGUCAGCCGAUUAUGAAAGAGAUAGUUGUAGCUUGGCUACAAAAAAUACAGAAAUAGUUAUCUGCAAGCAUGAUUGAUUAUUGCAAAAAUUGACUCCAUUAAAGAUGCCCAAUGCAAAGAAGAGGACAACGAGCACUUUAUGAUCUGAAUCUUGGUGAGGGCACAACGCCAAUCCACCGAAUAAAUUAGCCAUUCCUGGGUGUAGUUCAUUUUUAAUCUUUAUUGGGGCACUCAUACAUGUAAUUUUUAUUCCUAAUUGGAAGAUGUACUUAUUCGCGUUUAAUUGAAUAAGUAUCUUCAUUAAUUUUCCUCAAUAACUAUAUGAAUUAUAUUUUAUGUUAUAAAACGAAAAAUAAAACUGGCAACAAAAAAUGGCUACAUUUUCUAGCUGUUGAACCAAUGACUAUAACUUCGACCAAAAAAUAAAAUAAAAUCAACCACUAUUAAAAAAAAAAAAAAAAAAACCUACACAUUACCAAUUGGCGUAUAAGUAGAGCACCAACUCUGUAUUACAUAUCCACAAAUCACUAUUCACGAACCUCUUGUAAAUCGACAUUCGUAAGUUCAGAAUUCUUACACUCUUCACAUUACCAAUCCAACCAAAUAACAUAUGGCCAGUUUGAACGUCUAAUGUACUCAAGUGGAUAUCGACUGAGAGGAAGUGGCAUCAGCAAUGUANNNNNNNNNNNNNNNNNNNNNNNNNNNNNNNNNNNNNNNNNNNNNNNNNNNNNNNNNNNNNNNNNNNNNNNNNNNNNNNNNNNNNNNNNNNNNNNNNNNNUGUCGCUAGAUCUAGCGACAGCAGCCUCGCCGACCGCCAACGAGGGUCGACCUCGUUAGUGGCCGAUGAGGCUACCGUUGCUAGAUCUGGUGGGGCCUCACCCAGCCAAGGCAAGGGUCGACCUCGUUGGUGGCUGGCAAGGCUCCUUGCCUAGGACCGUGAGGCUUGACCUCGCCAUGGCUGGGCAAGGCCGAGCCUUACUAGAUGUGGCGACGGCGGCCUCGCAGUCACUAGGUGAGGCUUGCCUUCGCCAGUGGCCAGCAAGGCUGACCUCACCGACCAAAGGAAGGAGAAUGUGGGGAAAAAAAGAAAAAAAGAAUUCAAAAAUUAAAAAAAAAAAUUAGAAAAUUGCCACAUCAGUGUUCACUAGUCAGUUGUCCCCAACUGACAUCCACGUUAGCAUUGGCCGGGCAAUUUUGGUCGAAUGGACUGAAUUGGCACAAUUAUAAAAGAUUUAAGACUAAAUUGGCAAAAAAAAAAAAGUUUAGGGUUGAAUUAGCACAAAUGCAAUAAGUUUAGGACUUUUUUGUGGUAAUUCUCCCAAUGAAUGAUUAAUACUAAACAAGACCAAUCACAUAAUCGCGUGAGGGCCACUUGCUUCAAACUCCUUUUUAACUCCAGAGCCUUGUCAAUGAAGAAACAUAUAUAGCUUUUUGGGGAAAGUAAUCAUGUUCUCUAUAUUUUAUACAUCAUUUGUUUUAUAAUGCUUUUGAAUAUAUAUAUAUAUAUAUAAGAGAAUCAAUCCUGAUAGUCCUCUUAAUCAGGAAACAAAAGAAGAAGUAGAUUGACUUGGAUUCCUAUCUUAUCUCUAAUAAACAACUCAUACCAAAGAUUGACUUAAAUUCCUAUAUUAUCUCUAAUUGAUAACUCAUGCCAACACUUCCCCUCAAGUGGAUGAAAAUACAUCCUCAAUACCCAACUUAACAGUUGAACUGUGAAAGGCCCUACUUAACAUAGCCUUAGUAUGUUCACCAACUAAUCUUAAAACCUGACAAAAGGAAACCAAACCACCUUAGCCUCUAAAUUUUGCUUGACAAAAUGUCUAUCAACCUUAAUAUGCUUGGUCCAAUCAUGCUAAACUGGAUUGUGGGAAAUAUCAAUUGUUACUUUAUUAUCAUAGAACAAUCUCAUCUCACACUUCGAUGCAAAACCAAGUUAUGUCGUCAACCUCAUAAGUUACAGUAUCUCACACAAUCCUUUAGCCACCCCUCAAAACCUCGCCUUAGAAUUGGACAAUGCAACUACCUCAUGUUUCUCGCUCCUCCAUAUAAUCAAGUUUCCCUGCACAAAGGUGAUAUACCUCGACGUGGACCUCCUAUCCGAGAUGCUACUUGCCCAAUACGCAUUCCUAAAUCUCUCCACCUCAAGAUGACUGUUCUUCGCAAAGAACAUACCUUUUCUAGGAGCCGACGUGUCACGCCCCGAACCCCGAGCGCGCGCACAUCCCACUACGGUCGAUCUUGAAUGCGACAUCCCAGGAUAUGUCGCCGACCCAUUCAUUUCUUUACGCAUGCGGAAGCGAAACAAAUCCCCUGACAACAUUUAACUUGGGAUAGAAAAGCAGGAAACAAAAUCACAACAUAACACUUUCGUAAAUCAACGAAAUUACAAACAGAGGUCUACGGCCAAAAGUCUACAAAAGACUGGCUCUUAAAAAGAGAUUAUCCUACGACCUACAAGACGUACACGAUCUCCAAUCCUUAUGACUUCACUUCUCCAACUCUUCAAGGCCAACCAAAGCUAUCUGGCCGCUCCGUCCAUCAGGGACCUGAAAUGGUUAUUCAAUAACCACUGAGACCACGUCUCAGCAAGUUCAACCCCCUAAACCCCUAUUAGAAAGAAAAUACGCCCCGGGUGGCCUAGCCACAUCACACAGAAGACUUACCUCGCCUCAGCCUUCAUCUGCAGGUUAGCACAAUUUAUAUAAACCAACCACGUGCAAUUAUGAUAACCAAACAACCGUGGCUCAAUCACAUUAUCAAAACAAUUCAACCACUUGGAUCGUCUCAGCGAUCAAUCGACUCGGCCGAUUUCAUGUCAUUCUAGCAAAUCAAUCAUUGCUCUCAACUACGGCCCUACUCGGCGCGACCUUUAACAGGUGGCAAUUCACGGCCCCAUCGGGCGCGACCUCUAAUAGGUGGCAUAAAACGGCCCCACUGGGCGCGACCUUUAUCAGGUGGCAUAUCACGGCCCCAUCGGGCGCGACCUCUAAUAGGUGGCAUAAAACGGCCCCACUGGGCGCGACCUUUAUCAGGUGGCAUAUCACGGCCCCAUCGGGCGCGACCUCUAAUAGGUGGCAUAAAACGGCCCCACUGGGCGCGACCUCUAAUAGGUGGCAUAUUCACUACCUCAUCUCUCCUCAAUUCCCACACUUAGAAAUUUACAAAGAAUCCAUAUAUAUCGCAAUCACACUCAAUUCGCCACAACCAAUCAUCAAUAUCAAAUUCUAAAUGCACAGCAGCGAUCGGCACGAAAUUCUGAGUAAAUAAGGUUCCCAAAUAAUUUUCAGAAUUUAUUAAAUAAUUAAAUUUAUUCCGAAAAUUAAUAUAAUAAUAAUAUCCAUAUUUUUCACGAUCCACACUCAAUUUAAAAUAUCCAAUCAUCAAUUUCAAAAUCCGAAUGUACCGUAGCGACCGGUACGAAAUUCUGAGAAUUUAGGGUCCCGACCAAAAUUUGCGGAAUUUAAUAAAUAAUUAUAUUUAUUCCGAAAAUAAUUAAAUAAUAAUAUUUUAAUAAUUUCGAAUAUUAAAAUAUUAUUUAAUUAUUCAAUAAUUUCGAGAUAUUUAAAUAAAUCAAAAGUAAAUUCAUUUUUGUCACAUCAAGGUUUAUAUUAAUAUAAACACCCACUUAACUUUAAUUUAAACACAAUUUAAGCUAAUUAAACACAUUAAUAUAAACCACCCUUAAAUAAAUCAAACUAACCACCUAAUCACACUUAACAUAAACUAAGCACACCUAAAGCAUAAUUAACCCUCUAAGCGAGGUUUAGUGAGUUAAACUCACCGGAUUAGCGAGCCGAGCGAACCAAAACGACGAGGACGACGCGAGGAUCGACUUUCCUCAAAGCGGGCCGAGCAUCCGGGCUCGGGAAGGCGGCCAAAACGGGCCAAGAAGGGGCUGCCAUACCCAUUUUCUGCAGCUGCUGUCCGCGGCGGUUCAAGGUUGAGAGAGGCCAGAUCCGGCGCCGGUUCGGGUCGGAAAGGGCGGAGGAGCUAUGGCGGUGGCUGGCGGCGACGAAUGAGC